UGAGGGCCAUGCAUCUACAUUAUCUUGGAAAGACCGGCUGCGAAUUGGGAGUGAAAUUGCCGGAGCCCUGGCAUAUUUGCACUCAUAUGCUUCUAUAGCCAUCUGUCACAGGGAUAUCAAGUCUAGGAACAUAUUGUUGGAUGAAAACCUCCGGGCAGUAGUUUCUGACUUUGGACUUUCAAGAUCAAUACCCCUUGACAAAACUCACUUAACUGCAUUAGUACAAGGGACAUUUGGUUACUUAGAUCCUGAUUAUUUUCAUUCAGGUCAAUUUACAGAUAAAAGUGAUGUGUAUGCCUUCGGCGUAGUCCUUGCUGAACUUCUGACAGGAGAGCAAGCCAUUUCCUCGGAUAGAUCUGAACAAGGUCUAGCAAAUCAUUUUAGAUCAGCAAUGAAACAAAAUCGUCUGUUUGAUAUUCUUGAUAACCAAGUUGUAAAUGAAGGACAGAAGGAGGAGAUUUUCGCCGUUGCUAAGCUUACUAAGAGAUGCCUAAAGUUGAAUGGGAAAAAAAGGCCAACCAUGAAACAAGUUGAUAUAGACCUCCAACAAUUGGGCAGAUUUCAGGAGCAGUUGCCUUCUCAGAAGACAAUGAUUGAAGAGCCUUCGUUGCAGCAGCAUACAUGCGAGGACUACAGCAAACAAGCUGAAACAUCCCAUUCGUACACAUUUGGUGCAGUUACAGAAGAAAUAGUCAAAGACCAUGAGGUCUUGCUCUCCUAAGGAAUACAGUAUGGCACUUUGAAGUUUCGGUUAAACAUGAGGUUUCUUUAUGCUAUGGACUUCCGGAAUAAUGAUGUAAUGAAUGACUCAGAACUUUCUUUUACUUUGUUUAAUUUGUUUCAAGUAUGGUAUGCAUAUUAUCAGGGUCCAACCGGGGUUGAGGCUGGUUGACAGUCAAUCAUGGUCAACCUUUAUAUACACACGAAGUUCAUUUGCCAAACCCAUCAAUUCAAUCUUCAAUCUAAGCUGCCUAUGAUAUUGACUUAAAAUAAUUUUGGGUUAUAUUUGAUUUAGUAAAUAUAUGUUCAAAUUCCUUGUAUUUAGUAAAUAUGUUACUAUAAAUUUUUAUCAACAGCCUAUGGCGACUAAGAAAUAAAAAACUAAUGAUAACAUUCAUUGAACUAGUCCUGAACAAACCUUUUAUUUGGUAGGUAACAUCGAUGAAGCUACCGCGAAGGCUGUGAACUUAGAAAUGCAGAGCAAAUUGAAUAAAUGACCUUAAAUCUUUGUGUAUUGACCUCUAAUCGAAUUGUUUGGGAUUCAAAAGUAAAAGAAAUCAUUUUAUCUACUAAUAGUGGACAAAUUGGCAUAUUACCAAAUCACGCCCCUAUUGCCACAGCUGUAGAUAUAGGUAUUUUGAGAAUACGCCUUAACAACCAAUGUUAACGAUGGCUCUGAUGGAUGAACACAGAAUUUGUGCAGUAUCACUCUCGUAACAUGUACAGAUGAGGAGCACAACUUCUCAUCACUGGCUAAAAUCUUUGAACUUUAAACAAUAUAAUAAUUUAUUAUAUAUAGCAUUGAAUGUGUCUCGCCCAGGGGAGCCAAUUCGCUUUUUAAUAUUAUUUCCAAACAUCAUUGUAAAACUAAUUUUUAUGAUCUUGCAAAACAGGAUGAUACCAAGGCCUAAUUAGCAUUUUCCUAACAAGGACUCACCGAAGAAAAGGAUUUGUACUUAAACUCCAGCUAAAAUGGACCCCUAUUAUUUAGAACUCAUUUUAUUUUAUUUUUUCAUUUUUUGGAAUAUUUUGAUAUAUAUAUAUAUAUAAAUUUCAUAAAUAAGUGAACAACAUAAGUGUGUCACAUGUUGGAGAUUUAUUUUAACUAUUUAAACUCAAUUGUUUUACAGUUUAAAGAUAUUAUUGAUCAAAGAGAUUUUAGUGAAAAACUACUGAGAAAAAGACAUUAAAAAUAAGGAUGAAAAUAUCAAUUUUAAUAGAUAUUUCAAUAACUUAAGAUAUAUCGGGAUAUAUUGAUAAAUAUCAGUGGAUAUUUUGACACAAAAUAUCAAUGAAGUAAAAAUUAUAAAAACUCGUGAAAAUGUUGACAAACAUAUAAAAAAUGAUAUAAAAAGUAAAAAGGACUAUAUUAUAAUUGAAAUACAAAGAAAUUGAUAUAUAACUUGUAUAAUUUAUGACAAUUUAUAAUAAUAAUAAGCGACAUUUCAAAAUUCAUUUAAAACUGAAAUAAUAUUCUGUAGGAUUUGAAAAUAAAUAUAAUAAUAAAAUGAUAAUUUAGAAAGGGAAAAUUAGUACAAUAAAAUUUCACAAAAAGAAAAAAAAAAGGAAUAUAUAUAUAGGUCUCCUAAACCAUUCGAUAAACUUAGACAUUUGACCAUCCGAAUUAAUAUAAAUUCCGGUUCGGUUUACAGAAUAGUGAAGUCCAACUUCGUUCCUAUCCCGCCAGGCAUCAUAAGCAGUAAACUCCAGUGAGGAGGGGCCCAUCUCAUUUUACAAUAGACAGUUGGGCCCAAAAUGAGGAAUCCAUAUAUGCGAAAUUGAGACGAGUAAGUCUGACCAGGUUGUAUAACGGGAUGUGUAACUUGUAACACCUUCAUUCAUUUACCGUUGAGUUUAUUAAGUCUUUAAGCUACUGCAACUUUAUAAUUAUUUAAGGGAUAAUAAUUACAAUGGGGUUGCUAUGCUUUAUUCUUGGUAUUAUUGCUCACAUUUUAAUAUUAUUUUUCCACCCUCAACCUCUUCCCAUCAACGUCACCCACCUUAGCAAUAAACGAUGUCGGCUCAUAUGAUUUAAAAAAUAAAUAAAUGAUAAAGUAAAAAUAAAUAUAAUUUUGAGUCCAUAGUCCUAAAUUUUGGGCCCAUAGGCUUAAACUUUGGGUUGUAGACCAAAUAAUGAUAAAAAGAAGAAGAAGAAGAAGAAGAAGAAGAAUGUAGUCUUCUAAAGUAAUCCACUAUGUCUAAUAACUUUAUCUUAGUAAAAAUUCUCACAAUAAAGCAGCUGUGCAUUUUAUAAGAGCAACAAAUAUGUGAUUUAGUAACAAAUUCUCUAGUCUACUAUUAAAAUUUCAUCACUAAUUAUCAAUCACUAAAAUUUUUCACUGGAGAAUUGAUUGAAGAAUUUGCUAUACUUACCAUGGGAAUUUUUUUUAUGACGAAAUAUAUAUAUGUGUGAUGAAAUUAUUCGUCACUAAUAUUAAAUUUUCAAUAACGAAUCAUUUUUAUUCUAAUGACAAAAUGGACAUAUUUGUGAUGAAAUUGUUUAUUACUAAUUUUUUUAUUCCAAUGAUAAAUAUUUUUCAUCACCAACUCAUCAACUAUUUUUUGAAAAACAUAUUUAUUUUUAUAAUUAUUAUGUUAUGAUAAUAUUGUUUCAUUUAAAAAAGAAAUGAAAUUUUAAAUUAUGGAAGUACUUACUAUUUUAAAUCAUAUGGGAAAUAUAUAUAUGAUUCCCAAAGUCGAUACACCUCUUUUAAAGUUUCAGAUUGAAAAACCUUUAACAAGCCCCUCGAAACAUUUUGAGGGUACCCAAAUUGCCUACAAAAUUAGUGAGGAUAAUAUGGUUGGAUCGCCAAGAUAGUUUUGCCUUGUUGCAAAGAUAAAUAGCUAGAGCAAAGACUUAUGAAAUAAAAAGCUCUAAUAGCAGUAAUAUAUUUGUCAUCAAUGAAUUCCAUACACUCAUUUUGUUGUGGUGCCAAAUGUCAAACUUUACCCCUUUGCAAAAAAUUAUCAAAUCUCAUGCUCAUGAGUCUUCGAAACACUUAGCAAAAAACUUGCCAGCAUAAUGAAUCAUUUGUGAGGAAUGAUCCCAAGAAAGAGUGAUGAAAUGGGUAUCAAAAUAUUCGCCUAACCAUCCAUAUAAAUAGUGAAUGAGGAAAAUAGAUGCAUUAAGCCUAGGCUUCGAAGAGUGCUAUAUGUUACCUUUGACUUAACAAACGAUUUCAUUCAAGCCAUUGUAAAUGCUUGCUAAUGUCGGAACAACAAGGCUAAACAUCAAACUUUGAGUCAUUCUACUAACUACCUUAAAGACUCAAGAGCAAAUCAAAGUGACACACUUCCUAAGAAGAACAAACUUGCAUAUAAAACCAGCAUGUAAGGAAAACAACCAAAUAAGUUUCCCCAACAACUUCCUCAACCACACCAUGGUCAUCAAACACCUCCAUCUCCAAUUGAGUAUGAGAUUCAAUAGGGCGAUAUCCCUAAAAGGAUUAUGAGUCUCCUUGGUCUUUGUGCCUUAUUCCUUGAAUUCUUCUUUGGGGUUUUGAAUACUUUAUGGGGCUUUUGUACCAAAAUGACACCUAGGAGGCCAUUUUAACUUGUGUUUUACAUUUAAAAUUAAAUCCAAAAAAAAAAAAGAUAGAAUAACAUCACUAAUAUAGUAUUUCUUAGUUGUAAGAAGGUAACAUUUUAUUUGUUUUUUAAACUUCAGUCUUAAAGCCUUAAGACUUAAAAGACAUUUCGAAGGCUGUUUCUUUUUUAACUGAUAAUUUUUAGUCAAUUUUAUACCAAUAGAAAAAAUAAAAGUUCUUAUACUUUUAAUUUAAUAGAAAAAGUCACUUUUGCCUAUUUGUUUUUUCAACUUUUUAACUUUGUUAUAGUUCUCAAAUCCAAUUUCUCAAACAAAAUAAAAAUAUUUUUAGAAAUGUUGGGUUAUUCUUGACUGAAAAAUAAAUCCAAUUAUCUGUAUAUUAAAUGAAAAAUGAAUUUACAAUAAACUAAAAAAGUUACAUUCAUGAAGAAAACCAAAUAUGAUUAAGAUACUUUUUUUUACUUCGUGCAGUCACUAUUUUUUUAACUAAUUUGUAGGUUCUUGGUUCAAAGGUAAAAACAAUAAUAUUAAAAUAAUAAAGUUUAAUAUGAAAUAAUUUUUCUAUAAUUUUUAAAAAUUCAAUCUCCUAGAAUAUUACAACAAAUCAAAAUAAAAAUCAUCAAUUCUAAUAAUUUUUUUACAAUUAGAACUUCAAAAAUAAUUUACACUUAUCUAAAUACUAACUAAAAUCAAUAAUUUCAAUUAAAUUUGAAAUCAACAAUUGAAUGUACAUUCCAAUCCUAAAUCCAUUAAUUUGAAUAUGUACCACAUAAAAACUACUUAAUAUAAAUGACACUUAUAAAUUUUUUAACAUUUUAUUAGCAAUUAAACAUAAUUGAGAACCCCUAAUUACUAUUCCAUUACCAACUUCUUAGUUAAUUAUAUAAUUAAUUCUUUACAAAAUAUUUAUUAUUGUGAUAAGUGUUUGGUAUUUUGGUAUUUUGGGGUAUUUGAAAAUAUAUUAUAUUAUUAUUAUUUUUAAAUAUUAAUUUUUAUAUUUUUUAUCUUAAUUAUAUAAAAUAAGAAGAAAUAUAAUAAUUAAUUUCAUUAAUAUUUUUUGUACCUAAAAAUAAAAAGAUUUAAUGUUUAAUAGUAUUUAGAUAUUAGUAGAAAAACGCUUAAUAUUUAAUAACAUUCACACAUCAAUAAAAAAAUAAAUAAUCUAAGUACCUAAUGGCAUUCCACUUUAUUUAGAUUAAAAUGAAAAGAAUAUUAUUAAGAUUUUAGAUAAAAAUUAAAAAUUAAAAACAGACAAAGACAACAACACAACGUAAAAUACUACUAAAUUAGAAUUAUCAUAAUCCAAUUUGCUCUUAUUUUGACAAAAUUUCUUAGUAAAUAUUGUCUAGCAAACUUAUCUAAUUCAAAUCACAAUGAUUUUUUUUUAAUACACUAUCAAAAUGUAUUGAAUUAAUUAGAACAAAAUUUAUGCUUAUAAUUAAUAAUAAAAUAACACAAUAAUCUUACUACAAUUACCACAAAAAUUGUACUUUUCCAUGGACCUUACACUAAGAGUGAGCCCAUUUGUGAACUUCUGGAGUAGAGAAGGCAUACCUUCAAGAUAGGAUACAUCCCUAUCUUGGUUCUUGGUUCUUGGCUUUAUAAUAGGUUAUAUUGAUUCACCAGCUUCCAUGACACAAAAAUGUAAAUGGUGGUGAUUUAAUCAAUGCUUGAAGGUUAUUAUUCUUUAUAUACCUUCAUAGAUUUUAAAUGAAAUAAUUGUACAGAUAAUCGUGACAUACAAGGGGACAAAGAGAAAGGAGAAAGAAAGAAAGGAAAAAAACAUAGAGUUUUUAUGUAGUGGCUGGUAAUUUGAUCAACGCUUGGAGCUCAUUAUUCUUUGCCUUCAUAGAUUUUAAAUGAAAUAAUCGUUGAGAUAAUCAUGACAUACAAGGAAACAAAGAGAAAAAGGAAAGAAAGAGGAAAAGAAAAUACAAAGAGAUUUUUUAUGUGAUGGGUGGUGAUUUAAGAAGUUCUGCUUUUCUAUCUUUAUCUUUAUAGAUUUUAAAUGAAAUAAUUGUUCAGAUAAUCAUGACAUAAAAGGAACAAAGUUUUCUAUCUUUAUCUUUAUAGAUUUUAAACUAAAUAAUUGUUUAAAAUCUAUAUAUGUGUGCGUUGAUAAAGAAAUCUGAUUUGAAACUUCUAAGAAGUUCACAUGAGAUGAGGGAGAAGAAAAAAAGAAAACAAUGGUUCAAAUCAAACUUCUCUUUUGAUCUUUUUGCUAAAUUGGAAAGUAUAUAUAUAUAUAUAUAUGUGGGUGGAUGCCAAUGAAGUAAAACAAUGUUAAGAAAAAAGUUGCUUUAAACAACAAACAAUUUGGAAAUAUACCAAUUACAAGAAAGAAAAACAGGGGGGUUUUGCUUUAUUAUAUAAAUGGGUAAGCAAGCGUGAUUUAAACAUUUAGGAACUUUACAUGAAAUGAGCUAAAAGAAAAAGGAAAAAAGGGUUCACACAACACCAUUUAUCAUGUAUGGUUUCAAAGUUGUCUCUUGAAUUGUGAGACACAUGGAGCAGAAUGCACAACAACCAAGUGAUAUAUAUGGAUGAAAAGCCUUGAUCAUCUCUCAAUAAAAGAAAAUGGCGCUUUCCCCAUCCUUCUCCAACUUUAAUAAAGAUAAAGGAAGGGUAAUCAAUUGUUUCCAUUAGUUUUUGUUUGAUUAGGGCUUGGUGAUAAAGGUGUCCACAUGACUUGUAUUGUGAUUUUUUUUAAUUAGGAGUAUUAUUGGAGAGGCAUAUCUGGAAGUGUUUGUUGUUGCAAUUCGCUUAGGUCUUGGUCUCUUGGACCCCAGUUUAUAGCUGGCUAAGUCUGACCAUACCAGCUCCUCUUGUUCAAAAAGAAAACCCCCAAAAGCGGACUUGGUCUGAGUCAAGAUGUUGUGCUCUAACACACAUUAUCAACCCAGAAACCGGGCCAGAUUUAAUCUCAAUUUGAGACUUCCAAAUAGUGUCAAUGAACAAAUUUCUGGAGGCAUUUGUACAGGGAUAAAUUUUGUCCACUCACUAAUUGUUACAAGCCAAUAAAUUGUUAAUCAUAUGUUGAUGUGUUUUUAAUAUAGUCAAAUAAAAUUUAUUAUGACAAAGAAAAAGAUUCGUAUGGCAUCAAUGACUUCAAAUAAAAUAAUAUCAUGUGUCCUUGCUCUUGAUAUAAAUUUUUUGUUAUUUAAAAAAAAAAUUGAGGGCUAAGACUGCACCAAAGUUCAAAGGAGCAUGAUCUUAAUUCAUAAUAUAGUUAAUCAUAUGUUGAUAUGUAUUUUAAUAUGGUUAAAUAAAAAUUUAUUAUGUGACAGAAAAAGACUCAUAUAAUAUCAAUGGCUUCAAAUAAAAUAAUAUCAUGUAUCUAUGCUCUCAAUUAAAUUAAUAUCACGUGUCUAUGCCCUUGAUAUAAAUUUUUUGUUAUUUAAAAACAAAAUUGAGGGCUAAGAAUGCACCAAAGUUAAAAGGGAGCGUGAGCUUAAUUCAUAAAAUUUUGUUCUAAAUAUCAAAAAUUUUGUUUGUGGGGUUCCUCUAAACUGGCCUUCAUUCAGUGAUUUCUAACAUGAUGCAUCUGUUCAAGAUUUGGAUGUAAUUUUUAAAGUUAUAGGCUUUAAACUCAGUUUAUGUGACUUCAUCAAUGGCAUUGCUAGGAAUUUUAGGUUGGAAAAUUAAAGAACUUUGAGAACGAGGAAUGCAGUGGGUGUUAAGGUGGACCAAGAUCAAUCAAUUAAUUAUAACUGAUUGCAGGUAGUUGCAGUUUUUAUGGUGCAUAGCACUAUUAUCUUACAAACUUUUCUUAGGAAUCAACUUCUUGAAUUCAUACUCCAUCUCAUCUCAAGAACUCCGCUGGAUGAAACCUGUUAGAGAGAUUUAUUUAGAGUUUUAUUUAUUUAAUUUCUAUUUUAUUAUUAUUCUUUUUUGUAGGAAUAAGGUAAAUUAGUCCUUUUCUUUUCUUUUCUUUUAUUUCUUUACACUGUAUAAAUUAUAUUUGUAUUGUACCUAUUUAUUAAGUGAUCCUAAUAAGAAAUCCUAAACUUUUCUUUUCUUUGUUUGUUCAUGUUUCUUUUGAAUUUCACAUUGUCUUAGAGCAAAAUUUAUUUUAAUGGAAUUUUGGGUUUUCAUCUCAUUGAAGGGAAUUUUAUUUCAUAUACACUUUUACGUUGUGCCUAAUCAUAAAUCUUUGUUGUAGGUGAUCGCAUCAUUUUUCCUAUUUGAUCCUAGGUUUUCUUUGGUUUGUAUUUCUUUUCCUCUAUUUUCUUAUCGUUUGUUAAUUAUUCAUCAUGACUAGCAAAAUAGAUGAUUCCCUUCAAUCUGUUAGUGUGAGAUUGGAUAGAAAAAGUUAUUCAUAUUAGAGUUAUUGAUGAAAAAUUUUCUUAAGGGAGUUAUUGAUGAAAAAUUUUCUUAAGGGAAAAAAGUUGUGAGAUUAUAACAUUGGCACUUUAUACAAACAUAGGAAUGAAAAGGAUGAAAAAUAUGCAAAACAAUUAGAUAUUUGGAAAGUAAAAGUUUGAAAAUUAUCACUUGGAUCAACAACUCUAUUGAGUAUUCAAUAGGUACACAGUUGGCAAAGUAUGAAAAAUCUAAGAAAAUCUAGGAACAUUUGGAAAGAUUAUACAUGCAAUCUAAUUUUGCAAAGUAUUAUCAAUUAGGAAUUGAUAUUUGAGCCCUGAAUGGAAAAAAAAUGAGUAUUUAGGAGUUUUAUCCACUAUGACUGAUCUAUAUGACGAGUUUGCUCUCACGAGAUUAGUAGAGUUCUAGGCUUUUAUGUCUUAUAUUUCUCAGAACAAUGAUUAGUCCAAUUUUGUAAGGCCCUUUGUAAUGAUUUUGAGGCACUACAUGGCACAAUUUUGCAUCGUAGCCUACUCCCCUCUCUUGAUUCAAUAGUUGGUGAAUUGUUGGCUAAGGAGAUACAUCUUAAGUCUCAGUCAUAAAAAGAAAUUUUCUCCACACGUUAUACAUCUUAUUUGGAAGUACCUUCUAGGCCACCUUCCAAAAAUUAGAACAAAACUAACUCAAAGAUCAGCAUGGAUGAAUGUAGCUACUUUAAGCAGAAGGGCCACUAGAAGGCUCAAUGUGCUAAGAUCUUUAAUAGAACAACGUUCUUAUAGGCCUCCACAAUCUAAUACUACAACAAUUGUUCCUCCCUCUAACUCAACAAUCUAAUACUACAACAAUUGUUCCUCCCUCUAACUCAUUUGGAUUUAGGCCCACACUAUCCUCUAAUCCCAUGGUAUCUACCCUUACUAAACAGUUCAAGAAGUUCCUCACCACACCACCAUAUGUUAUUUCUCCCUCUUCAACUUUGUCAGCCCUUAAUUUUUCAAGUAUGUCUUCCUUUAUCUAGAGCCUUAGACUUUGGAGCUUAUCAUCAUAUGUCACCUGAUUUUUCAUCUUUUGCUUCUUUAUGUCCUAUAUCUUUUGUGUUUAUUAUUACUACUAAUGGUACUCUCAUGCCCUUAGCCGGUGCUAGUUCUAUUAUUACGCCUUAUGCAUUUGUCUAUUUCUAGUGCUUAUCUUAUUCCUGAUCUUACAUUGAAUCUAAUCUUUGUUGGUCAAUUAUCUGACAUUGAUUGCUUAGUGUCCUUUUUUUCUACUUCUUAUUUUAUGCACAAUUCACAAUCCUAGAAGUUGAUUGGGAUAGACCAUAAGUGGGGGAGACCAUUCUUGACAAACUAAAAGUACCAAUAGUUGCAUCCCUAAGUAUUGAUUUAUCUUCCUUUUGUUUGAGUCAUUUGUCUAGUUUUUCUAUUAACAUUCUCAUUUGGGACAUAUUUCAGCUUCUCGUUUAAAGUAUUUAGUUUCUGCAGGAGCAUUAGAAAAUUUGCAAACAUAAGAUAUUUCUAGUUGUAGUGGUUGUAAAUUGGUAAAAUUUUCUACCAUACCUUUUAAUAGAAAUGUUCUUCUUCUACACCAUUAGAUUUAGUCCAUUCAAAUGCAUGGGGACCUUCUCCAAUUCCUACAAAAAGGAGGGUUUCAAUUUUAUGUUUCCUUCAUGGAUGAUUAUACUCGUUAUUGUUGGGUUUAUCUUAUGAAACAUUAUUUUGAUUUUUUGAGUAUUUAUAAUGCAUUUCAAGCCCUUGUCAAAACUCAACAUUAUGCUAUUAUAAAGUGCUUUAGGUGUGAUUUGAGUGGGGUGCAUACUUCUAAUGCAUUUAAUGAUUACUUGCUUCACAUGGAACUAUUCACCACUCUUCUUGUACUAACACUCCAUAGUAAAAUGGUGUUACUAAAAGGAAACAUAGACAUAUUGUUGAAACUGCUCGUUCUCUUUUAUUGGUUACAUGUGUUCUUAGUGAAUAUUGGAGGGAACUAGUUCUUACUAAAGUUCACUUAAUAAAAUCCCAUCAUCAUGCACCUAUGGUCUAUCUCCAUUUGAAAAUUUGUAUGGUUAUGCUCCUUAUCACUCUCCUUUAAGAGUCUUUAGUUGUCUUCUCAUUCUACUAUUUGUGUUUUUCUUAGGUAUAGUGAAGGCCAAAAAGGAUAUUGUUGCUUUGAUCUGGUUAACCACAAAUUAUAUAUAUCAUGUUAAUUUCUCUUACUUGAGCAUCCUAUUAAGUCUCAUAAUGUCUCUAAGUUUAAACUUGUUCACAUUUAUUCUUUCUUGGAUGAUACGAUAGUUUUCCUAUAGAUACUAGUACUUUAGUUCCUAAUUAUCAUACUCCUUCCUCUCCUCCUAUGGCUAUUGCAACACCUUCUAAGACUGUGAAUCCUUCUUCCCCACAUAUUUCUUAACAUCCUUGUUAGUCUACUUGAUUACCAAGUUUUGUUUAUUCCUUUCAUUCAGAUUCUUUUACAUCAUUUUUAUCUUCUAUUCACAGUUUUUCUAAUCUUAAUCCUCUUUGGUGAUAGGUUAUGGUUGAGGAACUUUCUUAUUUGCACAAAACCGACACUUGAGAUUUGGUAUAUUUACCACCUUGGAAGGGUAUAAUUGAUUCUUGUUGGAUCUAUUUAAUCAAAACUAAGUCUAAUGAUUCAAUUGAGUAGUAUAAAGCCUAAUUAGUUAAUAAGGGUGCUCUCAAUAAUAUGUAUGGAUUAUAAGGAGACUUUUGCUUCCAUUACAAAUAUGACUAUUGUUUAUAUCUUAUUGUAGUUGCCUUUGUACGUCAAUGACAUAUAUCUUAGAUGGAUAUUAAAAAUGCCUUCUUGAAUGUUGAUCUUCAAGAAGUGUACAUGGUACCUCUUUUUGGUGUUUCCCAUAACCUAAGAGAGGUUUACAAGCUCAAAAAAGCUUUAUACUAUCUCAAGCAAGCAUUGUGUGUUUGGUUUGCAAAGUUCUCUAAUGUGCUUACUUCUCUUAGCUUUCAUCCUAAUCAUCAUGAUCCCUGCACUCUUUCUAAAAAGCACUACUACUAGUUGUAUUCUAUAUUCUCUAUAUGUUGAUAACACGAUUAUUAUAGGCGAUGAUGUUGAUGAGAUUGCAAUGUUGAAGUUAGAUUUGGCUUCUCGUUUGUAAAUGAAAGAUUUGAGCUUUCUAUGAUAUUUUUGGGGUAUUGAGGUAUCAUGUUCUCUAAAAGGUUAUCUUCUCUCGUAGUCUAAGUAUAUAGUUGAUAUUCUUGAUCAUGCUCGCCUUACUGACACUAAGACUUUUGAUACUCCUCUUGAGGUUUAUGUUCAAUAUUCUUCUUCUAAUGGUAACCUCUUAGCACACCCUACUUUAUAUCGUACUAUUAUUGCCAACUUGAUUUAUCCAACCAUUACACAUCUAAACAUUGCUUAUGUUGUUCACAUUGUUAGUUAGUUUGUUGUUUUUCCUACUAUAGUUUGUUAGGCUACUGUUCUUUAUAUUUUGCAGUAUCUCCAAGCAACAUAUCUUAGAUUUUUUUUACUUUCAUUUAUUUCUUCUUUUUUUUUUUUUUGGAUCUAUGUGCAUAUUUUAAUGUUGAUCGGGUUAGUGAUCCCAAAGAUUGCUAGUCUACCAUUGGAUUUUGUUUAGUUUUUAGGGAUUUUCCACAAAAGCUAAGUAUCAUGCUAUGGUAUUUACCACCAAUGAGAUAGUUUUGUUAUGUUACUUGUUGAUACCGUUAUUUCUCUUUCUUGUCUAACUCCUACGUAUUAUGACAAGAAGAGUGUUGUUCGGAUUGCAUACAACUCUGUCUUUCAUGAAAGGACCAAGCAUAUUGAGAAUGAUUUUACUUCACUCAUCAUCACCUUAGUAUAGCACUCUUUUUGUUUUAUUUCUUCUUCCUUACAAAUUGUAAACUUGUUUACAAAGUCACACUCACUUCUGUGUUUUUGAUAUUUGGUUGACAAUCUAUUGAUGCUUCUUACAGUCACAUCAUGAGUUUGUAGGGGGUUAUUAGAGAUAUUUAUUUGUUAGAGUUUUAUUUAUCUCCUAUUUUACAAUUAUUCUUUCUUUUUAGGAAUAAGGGUAAAUUAAUCCUUUUCUUUUCUUUUAUUUCUUUUUAUUGUAACCCUAUUUAAAUUUUGUUUGUGUUGUAUCGAUUUAUUAAGUGAUGUUAAUAAGAAACCCUCAACUUUUUUUUCUUUUUUACUUCAUGACUCUUUUGAAUUUCACAAACCAAGGUAGGUGAUCUAAAUAUAUCUGAGGCUGAGUGGAUUUUAUUUUAGUUAUUGAAUUUCAAAAUUGCCCUUAGUGACUGGUCAACUUUUUCGCAGCCCCAACAUUCUUCUUUAAUAAAGAGAUUCCCUUGCCGGUUGGUUCCGACUCCCUAUUUUGACACAUAUCAGAGACUCCUUAUUAAUGGAACUCUGCAAUCCAGAAGAUCAAUUUACAAAAUGACAGACAUGAGGAUGCUUCUGCAAGUGCUAGUAUCACUUCAUCUCAUCACAGUCAUCAUCUCCUUGGUAACCAUACUACAGGAAGCAGGGGCAUCUCUGACGAAGCCUGGCUGCCCAGAGAAAUGUGGGAAUAUUACCAUUCCAUAUCCAUUUGGUAUGGGGAAAGGCUGUUACCUGGAUAGGCAUUUCGAGAUUACAUGCAACAUGUCCUCCAAUCCCCCUCGUCCUCUUCUCCUCCAAGAAGUUCAACUUUUGCAGAUAUCAGACGACUCUCUGCGCAUCAACGAUACUGCUCAACGGAGCUGUUUUAACAACCAAUCAGGGAAGGCUGAUUCGUCAUUUGUGCCAUAUGAUAGAACUCAUCAUUUCAGUUACUCCCACACUAACAAUAAGUUCAUAGCCAUCGGAUGUGACAUAUUUGCUUAUAUCACAGAGCACAACAGUACAACAUAUGAAACCGGGUGUGCAUCGCUUUGUCCAGACAAUAACAUCACUGUUGGUUUUUCUUCUUCCGCUUGCACUGGCAUUGGUUGCUGCAGGACUGAUCUCCAAACGGAUAUGACGUGGUUUUAUCUGCGGAUUCGCAGCAUCAACAUGCUCACACCAGCCUGGAACUAUGAACCAUGUAGCCUUGCUUUCAUUGCGGAGAGGAACUUCUCCAUAAGUGAAAAUUUUGACCUCUCUAGUAAAUUUGACAGGAAUUUGUAUUUUGUUCCAGCAAUACUUGACUGGUCAGUUGGGAACGUCUCUUGCCCCGAAGCUCUAAGAAGAAAAAACUAUGCAUGUGGCCGGAAUACUUAUUGCGUAAACUCCACCCAGGGCCAGGGGUAUAAGUGUAACUGCUCUGAAGGCUACCAAGGGAAUGCCUACCUUGCAAAUGGCUGCCAAGGUACAGUUUCUUCUCCUUUUCAGGUUUUUUUUUCUUUUCUUUUCUUUUCUGUACUUACUUUCUUGCCACUCCCACGAGGGUAGUUCCUUCUUGGUGGCCCUGCUGCAAGCUUUACUGCCACGUCCAUGUGAUAUAUAUAUAUAUAUAUAUAUUUUUUUUUUCUUUUUCUUCUGAAUCUUUGCUCCAGCGAUACAUAAGAAAAAUCAAUUGAUAAUUUUUGCUUCAUGGAAAUAUCAGCUUUUGUUCUGUGCAAAGAAGGAAUGAAGAAAUUAUCCAUGACUCUUUGGUUAUGAAAUUAUCCUCUGAUCAGUUUUCUACAUAUCAGACCUGAGAGUCACAACAAGGCCAUGGCAACUGUACCUAAGUUAUUAUAGAAUGAUAUGUUUCGUAAUGAAAUUUAAGAGUAAGCAACCUCAGCGAAAAUGAAGAUUUAGAAUUUCUAAUUGCAAAGUUUAGCUUCACUACUUUGGUUCUCUUAUUUUAGCUUCUAAAUUACUAAUAUAUUUCUUUUCAUUUAUGUUUUCAAAAGAUAUUAAUGAGUGCGAGGACCCAAACAAAAUUUUUUGCCACGAGAUAGCUCUUUGCACUAACGUCCCUGGCAGUUACUCAUGCACUUGUCCAACUGGUUACCAUGGAGAUGGAAAGAAACAAGGAACUGGGUGCAUACGUGGCAAGCAUAAACAUUUGCUAGCACUGGUAUUUUCUUUAGGUAUGGAACUUUACCAUUCUCUUAACACCUAGCACUCUAAUCCCCUUCUCUGAACUACUUACUUUUGUGUCUGCUGCAGGUGCGGGGAUUUCUGUUGUUUCCUUGAUCCUAAUUGCUACAGGCUUAAGGUUAUACCGAGGACUUAAGGAAAGAGAGAAAAAGAAAAUAAAACAGAAGUUCUUCAAGAAGAAUGGUGGUCUGCUAUUGCAACAGCAAAUUUCUUCAAGCAAAGAAAGUGUAGAAAAAACAAAACUCUAUUCGGUAGAAGAGUUGGAGAGAGCAACAGAUGGCUUCAAUUCGAGUCGAGUCAUUGGUAAGGGAGGCCUUGGCACAGUAUACAAAGGAAUGUUGUCGGAUGGAAGCAUUGUAGCCAUUAAGAAAUCCAAUACCGUUGAUGAAAAGCAAUUGGACCAGUUCGUUAACGAAGUUUUCAUUCUUUCACAGAUCAACCAUAGGCACAUAGUAAGAUUGCUAGGUUGUUGUCUGGAGACUGAAGUACCUUUGCUGGUUUAUGAAUACGUCUCCAAUGGCACCCUCUUCCACCAUCUCCAUGAUGAGGGCCAUGCAUCUACAUUAUCUUGGAAAGACCGGCUGCGAAUUGGGAGUGAAAUUGCCGGAGCCCUGGCAUAUUUGCACUCAUAUGCUUCUAUAGCCAUCUGUCACAGGGAUAUCAAGUCUAGGAACAUAUUGUUGGAAUGAAACCUCCGGGCAGUAGUUUCUGACUUUGGACUUNNNNNNNNNNNNNNNNNNNNNNNNNNNNNNNNNNNNNNNNNNNNNNNNNNNNNNNNNNNNNNNNNNNNNNNNNNNNNNNNNNNNNNNNNNNNNNNNNNNNNNNNNNNNNNNNNNNNNNNNNNNNNNNNNNNNNNNNNNNNNNNNNNNNNNNNNNNNNNNNNNNNNNNNNNNNNNNNNNNNNNNNNNNNNNNNNNNNNNNNNNNNNNNNNNNNNNNNNNNNNNNNNNNNNNNNNNNNNNNNNNNNNNNNNNNNNNNNNNNNNNNNNNNNNNNNNNNNNNNNNNNNNNNNNNNNNNNNNNNNNNNNNNNNNNNNNNNNNNNNNNNNNNNNNNNNNNNNNNNNNNNNNNNNNNNNNNNNNNNNNNNNNNNNNNNNNNNNNNNNNNNNNNNNNNNNNNNNNNNNNNNNNNNNNNNNNNNNNNNNNNNNNNNNNNNNNNNNNNNNNNNNNNNNNNNNNNNNNNNNNNNNNNNNNNNNNNNNNNNNNNNNNNNNNNNNNNNNNNNNNNNNNNNNNNNNNNNNNNNNNNNNNNNNNNNNNNNNNNNNNNNNNNNNNNNNNNNNNNNNNNNNNNNNNNNNNNNNNNNNNNNNNNNNNNNNNNNNNNNNNNNNNNNNNNNNNNNNNNNNNNNNNNNNNNNNNNNNNNNNNNNNNNNNNNNNNNNNNNNNNNNNNNNNNNNNNNNNNNNNNNNNNNNNNNNNNNNNNNNNNNNNNNNNNNNNNNNNNNNNNNNNNNNNNNNNNNNNNNNNNNNNNNNNNNNNNNNNNNNNNNNNNNNNNNNNNNNNNNNNNNNNNNNNNNNNNNNNNNNNNNNNNNNNNNNNNNNNNNNNNNNNNNNNNNNNNNNNNNNNNNNNNNNNNNNNNNNNNNNNNNNNNNNNNNNNNNNNNNNNNNNNNNNNNNNGAAUCCAUAUAUGCGAAAUUGAGACGAGUAAGUCUGACCAGGUUGUAUAACGGGAUGUGUAACUUGUAACACCUUCAUUCAUUUACCGUUGAGUUUAUUAAGUCUUUAAGCUACUGCAACUUUAUAAUUAUUUAAGGGAUAAUAAUUACAAUGGGGUUGCUAUGCUUUAUUCUUGGUAUUAUUGCUCACAUUUUAAUAUUAUUUUUCCACCCUCAACCUCUUCCCAUCAACGUCACCCACCUUAGCAAUAAACGAUGUCGGCUCAUAUGAUUUAAAAAAUAAAUAAAUGAUAAAGUAAAAAUAAAUAUAAUUUUGAGUCCAUAGUCCUAAAUUUUGGGCCCAUAGGCUUAAACUUUGGGUUGUAGACCAAAUAAUGAUAAAAAGAAGAAGAAGAAGAAGAAGAAGAAGAAUGUAGUCUUCUAAAGUAAUCCACUAUGUCUAAUAACUUUAUCUUAGUAAAAAUUCUCACAAUAAAGCAGCUGUGCAUUUUAUAAGAGCAACAAAUAUGUGAUUUAGUAACAAAUUCUCUAGUCUACUAUUAAAAUUUCAUCACUAAUUAUCAAUCACUAAAUUUUUUCACUGGAGAAUUGAUGUAAGAAUUUGCUAUACUUACUAUGGGAAAUUUUUUUAUGACGAAAUAUAUAUAUUUAUGAUGAAAUUAUUCGUCACUAAUAUUAAAUUUUCAAUAAUGAAUCAUUUUUAUUCUAAUGACAAAAUGGACAUAUUUGUGAUGAAAUUGUUUAUUACUAAUUUUUUUAUUCCAAUGAUAAAUAUUUUUCAUCACCAACUCAUCAACUAUUUUUUGAAAAACAUAUUUAUUUUUUAUAAUUAUUAUGUUAUGAUAAUAUUUUUUCAUUUAAAAAAGAAAUGAAAUUUUAAAUUAUGGAAGUACUUACUAUUUUAUGAUAAACUACCAGUUGUUUUAUGUAAUAGUAAAGGUUUUUCAUAUAAGAAUUUCACAUAAAAAAGGUCUUGUUUGACAACUAGUUUCAAGAAUAGCUUUUUGUUUUCCAAAAUAAAAAGGAAAUAGGAAAAAAAAGUUUAUAAUCAGAAAUUUAUUUUUUAUUUUCUAUUCUUAAAAACUAAAAAUAAUGUGUUUUAUGAGGGUUGUCUUAAAAAGUAAUUACACAAACAUGAAAAAUAAUUAAAAAUAAAACAUUAGUUACAAAAAUUAUUUUUAAAGCAUAUUUAAAAACAUUAAGCCUAUGUUCGGUUUGUACAAAAUAUGAAGAAAAGAAAAUGGAAAAGAAAAAUAAAAGAAAAAAAUGAAAAUUAAAAAUAAAUUUAAAGUUAAUAAAUUAUUUUUAUAUGUUUUUUCAAAUUUAUUUCACUUGUUUUCCUUCAUCAUAUAAAGACUAAAUAAUUUUGAAAUGUAAAAAUUUCUAACUCAUUUUAAUUAUAUUUGAUAUCAAUUUGUAUUUCCCAUAAUAAAACCAAAUAUGAGAAAACCAUUUUUUUAGUAUUUUUUUUCUUUCCUUAAUACUUUAUGGAAAUAGACAUAGCCUAAAAAUAUGUUAAAAAACACUUCAAGUUUACAUACAAAUUUUUGUUUUAUAAAACAUUAGAAAAUAAUUUUAAAAAUUUGCUCCCAAAAACUCAUUUUCACUUUAUAUAGUAUUAUCCAUAAAAGCAAAUCUGGCCUAGAAAAAACUAAUCAUAAUAGUCCUUUUCCACCAUGAUCAACCGGGAAAAGAAGACCAAGUGAUAAUGUAUAUAGGAAGAGUAAUUUUAGUUAAAUCCAGAAAAGGGGAAAGAAAAAAGGAAAGAAAUGGAGUCAUCCCUAUCCUGGUUGUUGGGCUCAAUAGAGAAUACAUAUGAACCCGCUUUCUGAAUACACAAUGUAAUGGGUGAUGAUUUCAAGAGUGAUGCUUGGAUCUUACGUCCUUUUCUAUCUUAACUUUCAUAGAUUUUGAAUGCAAUAAUGGUAUGAAAUAAUUGAUGAUCAUGACAUAUAGGAGGACACCUGUCUCAUGCUAUGAAUAUUUUUUACACCAAUUGAGAAAAAAUGGACAAGAAAGGGAAAAAAAAAUUGAAGGGUCGUGACCCCAACCUUAGCUGUUCCCUUGCUUUUUAUUAAAGCUUGACAGGUUACGACGUACCAAAAUAAAUAUCUUUAAAUAAAUUAGAAUAGCUCAUUUUGGUGGAGGCUUUAAGUAGAAAAUCAUUUCAAAAGUUAAUUUUAGAAUAUACUAAUUUAACUUUGAAUUAUUUUACUUUAUUGCACCUAUUCACCAUCACAUAUUGGGUGCCAAAGUCCGCUUUUGAAUCAUGUCGAUCAGCUUAGAAACACAGAUAAUAGGGCCCUGGCCUACAUGAUAAAAAGAAAAGAGGCCUAUCCCAAGCCUCAUCCAGCUUUAAUAAAGAUAAAGGAAAGAAGAAAUUAAAUAUCCCAUAAAUUUAUUUAAAGAUAGCAUAAAGCAUAAUGUAAAAGGAAGCCUUGAUUGUCGCAAUCUGCUCAAUAAUGUUGUUAUCCUUUGUCCUCUGGAUCCUAUUCUUUAAGUGACAAAAUUUGACUAGAACAGCGGUCUUUUCUCAAAAUGGAAAAGACGCAACUUUAGCUUUUUAAAAUUCCAGUGCCAAGAACAAGACAAUCAGCACCAACACGGCUUUCUCUGCUGCAAAGACAUGUGGAUCCUUCGAAAAUCCACAUUGGACCCCAUCUGAUACGCACCGAUAACGUGGCCAAACCUCAACAAUAUAGGACCCUUAUAGACGUGACCCUAACCAAACCUUACUAACAUUUGGUUAAUAAAGAUAAGACUAGAUAAUGACAAAUCUUGUUAAAGGACUAAUAGUCUGUUUAGUAGUAAUUCUAUAAAGAGUUUCUAAAAUUUUUAAUAUUUGAAAUUUUUUAUCAUUCAAAUAUUAAAAAGUCUAGAAAUGUUUCCUAAAAUCAUUGUCAAACACACUCUUAGAGUGUGUUUGAUAGUGAUUAUAAGAAGUGUUUUUAAGCUUUAUAAUACUUGAAGGAUGAAAUUUUCCAAGUGUUAUAAAACCUAAAAAUACUUCCUAAAAUCACUACCAAACCCACUCUAAUGCAUAUAUGUUCCUAGGACUAACCAUGCAUAUCUCUUCCUAAGACUAAUGAUAUUAUCUCUAUUAUUUUCUAAAGAUGUUUAAGAAACAAUGUAUAUGGCUGAAAUCCUCCUCACCAUAUGCAGGAGAUAAUAUCAAAUAUAUAUAGAAUAAAUUACAACAAUCUGAUUCUAUAAAAUAGGAAGGUUUGAAAUACAAAUAUUGAAAACAUAUCUACAUAUAUUUACAGCUAUACAAUUGGAUUUUAUGGAACCAAAUUGGGAUAUAACAAAUUUGAUGGAGAAUCAAAUGAUUCUCCCUUAUCAUCCCCCUGCAAGGUGAGCGUGGGAGAAGGGAUAACGCUGAGCUUGCUUUGGAAGAGAAAGAACUGAGGCUUGGUGACGCCUUUGGUCAAUGAAUCAGCAAGCUGUAGAUGUGAAGGGAUAAAAGCAACUUUCAAAGUGCCAUUAGCAACAAGUUCACGAACAAAGUGGUAGUCGAUCGCAAUAUGUUUUGAGCGAGGGCGAGUAACUGGAUUGACCGCCAUAAAAAUUGCACUUUGAUUGUCACAAAGAAUUUUAGGUGUUGUUGAGAGUGUAACAUGGAGGUCCCGAAGUAGUUGAACAAUCCAAGCAAUAUCAGCAAUGGCAACAACUAAAGAACGAUAUUCUGGCACUUGAUCAAGAGAUAGUGCUUUGUUUCUUAGAGGACCAAGAAACCAAAUUGGUACAAAAAAAAAAAAGCAUAGCUAGUAGUGGAACGACGUGUAUCGAGACAGCCUGCCCAGUCCGCAUCAGAGUAAGCAAGAAUAUCAUGAGUGGACUGUUGAUGGAGUUGAAGUCCAUGAGGAGGAGUGCCUUUGACAUAGUGCAAAAUGCGCUUGAGAGCACGAAAGUGGUCCUCAAUGGGAGCAUGCAUGAAUUAGCAAAUAGAAUUCACACUGAAGGAGAGAUUCAACCUAGUCAUGGUCAGGUAUUGAAGAGCACUUGUAAGUGAACAAAACAUAGUAGGAUCGGAGAACAAUUUUCCUUCAGUUGAGAGAUGUUGACCGAUAACACAGGGUGUAGAAAUAGGCUUUGCAUCAAUUAUUGAAGCACGUUGCAACAGUUCAAGGGCAUACUUUGUUUGAUUGAGAAACAAACCCUUCUCAUUAGCUUGCACUUCAACGCCAAGGAAAUAAUGAAGAUCACCCAAAUCCUUCAUGGAGAAUUCCUUGGAAAGCCAAGUAAUGAGGGUUUGAACCAUAGAAGAAUUACUUCCAGUUAUGACCAUGUCAUCAACAUAAAAAAGUAAAUAAAUAGUUCCAACCAAGGAGUGAUAGACAAAUAACGAAGAAUCAGCCUGACUAGAAAGAAAUCCAAGUUUGAGCAAAAAGGAGUUAAAAUGAUGAAACCAAGCUCGAGGAGCUUGUUUCAACCCAUAAAGAGCCCUCUUUAGGCGACAAACAUGCUGAGGGAACUGUGGAUCUGUGUAGCCAAGCGGUUGUUCCAUAUACACCUCUUCAUUGAGAAAACCAUGUAGAAAUGCAUUUUUAACAUUUAGCUGAUGUAAACGUCAUCCAAAAGUAACAACCAAUGAAAAAAUAAUUCUUACUGUAGCAAGGCGCACUAUAGGACUAAAUGUGUCACCGAAGUCAAGACCAUGAAUCUGAGAAAAUCCUUGAGCCACAAGACGUGCCUUGUGACGCUCAAUGGACCCAUUCGAUCGAAGUUUGGUUUUGAAAAUCCAGCGACAGCCUACCACAUUGUGAUUGGUAGGACGAGGUACAAGAACCCACGUAUCAUUUGUCUUCAAAGCUUGAAUCUCAUCAUCCAUAGCCGAGAGCCAUUCAGGGUGUUUUGUAGCAGACUUAAAACCCUGAGGUUCUUUGAGAGCAAGAAGUGCUUGAAAAGUUUGAGAAAAAGACAAAACAUUCAUAGCAUGAUAUAAUCGUGGUUUGAAUUUAUCGACUUUUCCUCUGGUAAUCAUCUGGUGGCUGGAAGUGGUCACAUGAGGAGCGGAAGACACCGACGAUGGGAAAGUUGAGUCUGAAGCUGCAGAAUCCGAGAGGGGUUCCACAUAAAUAGGACCUUAUAGAUCAAGGGGAGAAUCCGAGGACAGGUGUGGAGAAUCACUACAAGGCAAACAUGGUGAACUUGAAAACGAAUGAGAAGAACCAAUAGUAAAAGACCAAGACACAUAGUCCGAGCAUUAAAAAAAAAGGGUAAGUCAACGUUGGUUUGUAAAUUUUUUAUAGAAUCACCAUGAUAAGGAAAAGUAUUUUCAUAAAACUGCACAUGUCGAGAAACAUAGACACGAUGUGUCUUUCGGUCGAGACAUCGAAAUCCUUUAUGAAGUGUACUGUAACCUAAAAAGAUACAAGAAGCAGAUUUUGGAGACAAUUUAUUUGGUGAGUAAUCUUUCAAAUAAGGGAAGCAAAGACACCCAAAAGUGUGAAGCAUAGAGUAAUCCGGUUGCUUACCAAACAAGAGCUCAUAAGGAGUUUUGCCAUCAAGUAACGGUGACGGGAGUUGGUUAAUGAGAAAGACAACAAUUGAGAAGGCCUCAACCCAUAAAGAGAGCGGCACACGAACAUGGAACAUAAAGGUAAGGCCCGUUUCUAUGACAUGGCGAUGCUUGCAUUCGACAAUGCCAUUUUGACUAGGAGUGUUGGGGCAUGCCAAAUGGAGAACAAUGCCACAAGAUUGCAAGUGAGAUCGAAAUUUAUUAUUUGUAAAUUUGGUUCCACCAUCACAUUGAAAGGAUUUUAUUUUGGAUGAAAAUGGAGUCUCAAUAUAACAUUGUAAAUGGAUGAAGGUAUCAAAAAAAUCAGAAUUUUGUUUUAAAGGGAAAGUCCAACUAAAUCUGGUACAAUCAUCAAUGAAUACCACAUAGUAUCUAUAUCCAAUAAAAAAGAGAACUGGUGACGGACCCCAUAAAUCACAGUGUAAGCGAUCAAGGCAUGGCACAACGUUCAUCAUUUAGAGAAAAAGGUAAAUGAUGGCUUUUGCCAAGUCUACAACCAACACAAAUUUCAAAAUCAAUGUUCACCAAUUUAUUACUACAAGAAAUAUAUCCUAAUCUAGAAAGAGAAGCAACAAUACAAUAAUUGGGAUGACCAAGGUGGGCAUGCCAUAAACGAACAGAGGCUUGCGAUGAAGGAGAAGUGGUGGACAUAAGGGCAUGAUGAUAACGAUCCAACACGUAGAGACCAUUUUCACAUCUUCCGACUCCCAAUACAGUUCUUGUGACCUGAUCCUGUAUGGUAAAACCAGAGGAAGAGAAGGUAACAAGACAAUUAUUGUCUUUAGUAAGUUGACUAAUUGAAAUAAGAUUUUUCUUAAUGUUAGGAACAACUAAGACAUUUGAUAAAAGAAGAGAACUAGACGGAAUACGAGAUGAAAUGGAACCAGUAUGAGAAAUUGCUAAAGACUGACCAUUUCUAACCAUGACACGUUCAUUACCAGAGUAGAGAGCUGGUUGAUCCACAACCUUGGUGUCACUUGUCAUAUGGGACGUUGCACCAGAAUCAAGAAACCAUUCAGAGUCAUUCAGGUCUUGAAUUGAGCAGGCUGAAAAAGCUUUAGCAAUAUUAGCCGAUUGCUUCUUCUUGAGUUUCAAGAAACUCUAGCAACGUUUGGCUAGGUAUCCAUCCUUGUCACACAACUGGCAGUGAAUGGUGGAUGAUGACUUCGAAUUUGCAAAAGAGCUAGACGAAGUGGGAGACCGAUUCUUCCAUUUCUUAGCCCCUACAGAUUUGGAAGUCUGCUGCACAUAAAAAGUAGAGUUAGAAGACGAGUGGGAAAUCGACCUUUCAAAAAUCUCAUGACUUAAAGCUUUCAAAACAAUCUCAGCAAAGGAGGGUAGUUGAAGUUGUGACAUCAUGGUGGUGGAGAAGAUCUUGUAGUCGGGCCCCAAUGCUCGUAAAUACUAGUGAACUUUAUCUGUGUCGUCAAUGGGACGACCGAUUGCAGCCAAUUGAUCACAAAGACCUUUGAAGGUAUGGGAAAACUCAACAAUGGACUGAGAGCCGCGUUGCAUCAAUUGGAGUUCAUCCUUGACUUGCAGUUCACGAGUCUUUGACCGGUGUGAGAAUGAGACUUCAAGAGCAUGCCAAGCCUCAUGAGAAUGACAUAAACCCAAGACUUCACUCAUAGACUCCUCGGUAAGAGAAGAGUAGAGUAAACUGAGAAGUGUCUAAUCAGUAUGUAGCCAAAAAGUGUACGCUGGAUUUGAUUUGGUGGUGCCAUCAGCGGCAAGAAUUGUGGCUGAGGGAGCCCCGAUGCUACCAUCCAAAUAGCUAAACAAAUCUUGAUUGGCUAACAGUGGAACAAACUGAUUUUUUCACAAUAAGUAAUUUGAGGAAGUCAGUUUAAUGGUGAACAUAUGCACCAUUGUGUUAAGCAGAAGAAAAGAAAAUGAAGAAGCCAAAUCAGCCAUGGUUAGAAUCAAAGAAAAAAAAAUCCUCAAGCUUUGAUACCAUAAAGAUGUUUAAGAAACAAUGUAUAUGGCUAAAAUCUUUCUUACCAUAUGCAGGAGAUAAUAUCAAAUAUAUAUAGAAUAAAUUACAACAAUUUGAUCCUAUAAAAUAGGAAGGUUUGAAAUAAAAAUAUUGAAAACAUAUCUACAUAUAUUUACAGCUAUACAAUUGGAUUUUAUGGAACUGAAUUGGGAUAUAACAAAUCUGAUGAAGAAUCAAAUGAUUCUCCCUUAUCAUUUUCAUUCCUUUCAAGGUUUUUUUUUUUUUUUUUUAUAAAUAUGUAGGGGAGACAAACCAUAGACAGGGUGUUGUAUUAAGUCUUUAAAUUAAAUUUAGUAUUUAAAACUAAAAUGAUAUCAAACUCUUCACUUAAACUAUAUAGAUGUUGAAUUUUGUAGUUUGGUAUAUGAACUCAACAUUAUCAAAAUCAUCCAAGAAUUCAACACUUUUAAGUUUUAAUUCUAUUGUUUUUAACUACUUAAUUUUAAGUUUAAUCAAAUAUCUCCUAAGAGUGCUCACACCAAACAUGCAGUCUUUUUUUUUCUUUUUCUUUUUUUAAGCUUAGAUUUCAUAUAUGAACUCAUCAUUAUCAAAAUCAUAAACAAAUUCAACAUUUAUAAUAUGUAGCUCUUAAUUUAUAAUUUUAAGUUUGAUCAAAUAUCCCCUAAGAGUGCUCACACCAAACAUGUAGUUGUUAUUAUUAAAUAAUUUUAUAUUAAAAUGUGUCCUUUUUAAAUCAAAUUUUUUUUACCAUUAGUUUCUUCAUGUAAAAAAAUUAAAAUUCUAAACAACUCUAUUUUAUUUGAUGUGUGCCAAUUAUAUUAAAUUAAACUCCAUUUUAAUUGAUGCAUAUUUAAAUAAAAUUUCUUUUAAAAUAUUUUUUUUUAUUUUUAAUUAUUUAAUACAAUAAACUUGAAAAUUCAAAUAAACUCUACUUAAAUUUAUUUAUAAGAACCAAUUUUUCAUUGAAGGGUUAAUUAAAAAAAUAAAAAUCAUGAUUAUAUUUCUUUAAAUAAUUUUUGAUAGGAAAAUAAAAAUGAUGAUAAAAUAAUUAAGUAAUACAUAACUUUUAUUUAAUAUAAAUUAACUCUCUAAGUUAUGCAACUUUUACUCUAUAAUUUAUUUUUAUUGACUUUCUUAUUAUAUAUUACUUAAAAAAAAAAAAAACUAGUUAUAAAAAUAUUGAAAUAAAAAUUAGAAGGAAACGAAAUAGUGAAUAUAAUUUCUUUUAGUUGAAAUAAAUUAAAUUAAACACAUAGUAGCAAAAAUGUUAGAUUUAUGAGAAUUAUACUUGGUCUUUUUAAAAUUAAAACUUAACAUAUUUUUAAAAAUAGACUUUAUUAUAUAAAAUAAAAUUAGAAUUAAAAAAUAAAAUAUUUUUAAAAUUUAUUUUAUUCUUAUAAUUAAAAUUUUGAAGCUUGGACAAAGUACUAAAUAAAAGUUUGCAACUAUAAAAAAAAAAAAUUAAAUGUUUAUAAUUACUUUAAGAAUAAAUUAUGGAAAAAAAAAGUUGUUACAUUUCUAUAGAAUAAAAAAUGAAAAUAUUUAUUAUAGUUGUAACCUUAGAAUAUAAAAUUAUAUUAUUAAAUAAAGAUUGAAUCACUUCACUUAAACAAGAAAUUCUUAUUUCUAUGGGGUAUUGUGCACAAUGCUUAAAUUUUUAAAGAUAUCAUAUGUUAAGUGUACACUUAAAUUUCUAACAAUGAAUCAUUUUCAGACUUUAACUAUUUUCAUUAUCAAAUGGUUAAAUUACAUUUAGCACUUGACCUUAAAUAAUAUAAAACACUUUUCACUUCUACUAAUUUAGUGCUUAAAAUUUAAUACUAAAAUAUUUUAGUACUUAAUUUUGAAUUUUAUAUUAACACUACCUAAUAUUCCUCAUGAAGGGAAUAUGUGCAUUACUUCAUUCCCAUCUAUACUGUUACAAUAUGUGCAAAACUUCAUAGGGCUCUAAAUCCUAGUAACAAAAGCAAAUAAGCAUUUUAAAACUUAUUAGUGUAUUACCUUAGAUCUGGAUGUUUCUAGAUCAAUUCCUGUCCGUGAAGAUGUGUUGAAUGCGUGGUAGAUUUUGUAAACACAAUAGUCUUCCACUUGAUAGCUUUUUCUAGAUCCUGACAUAUAAAGGGUGGAUUGCUUUAGAAUGGUUGAUGGCUAGAGUUCUCUUCUUUUUGGAGAUUGGAAGACAAGAGAUGAUAGAAGUUUGAAGCCUUAACCCUUAAAAAGGGUUUAUUUAGGCUUCAAGUCAACUUAAGUUACUUGAGCCCAUCCUAGGCUCAAGUCAAUUAAACUAACCCACUUAGAUCCUAAUUUAUUAACUAGUCAUUUGAGCUCCAAUUAAUCAAUUAGCCCAAUUCAGAAAUAUCAUUUACAAAAUCUUGUGCAAUCUUGAGUAUUUUCCAAAACACCUUUACACACAAAAGUGAACAAAGAACACAACUAACUCUUAUAAGUUGUGUCAUCAUAGUAGGAAUCUCUAGAACUCAUAGGAAAAUACUAUCUCCCUCAAAAUCCAAUUUUGGAAUUGACUCAACAUCCUACCAUAAAGAAUCAAACAUACCUCUAUAUCCUAUACAUAUUAUAAUGAGAUACAAGAACUCGGGUCUAUGACCUUACCAUCUACUACAUGUAGGCUCCCUAUGAAUUGUGUCUAUAAUCUCACAAAGGUGAAUGCUAUCAAUGUCUUAAGAUUACCUUUAUAAUCCUUGAGUAUCAAAUCCCCUUAUUGUAUGAUCAACUAACAAAAUCUAGCUUACAAAGAGUAUAUGUUAAGUUUUAGUUAAGGAACUACUACGAUAAUAGAUUUCUUGAACACACAUCCUUAGGAUCACCUAAUAUGACACAUUAUCUUAAUCUUAUGAGACAUCAUGGUACCUCUAUUGAGAAUACUUGUUGUCACCAACAUUUAUCAAUAGUGACCUAAUCCACAAGGAACAUACGACUAACUUAGGAUCUCACUCAUAUGUCAAAGUCAUUACAAAUUUUAGAACAAGUUCAAUAUCCUCUCAAGAUUGAGAGACCAUACAAUAUAGUAGCUUAGUGAGACCAUGAUUACUUGAUGGUCAAAUUUCAUGACUCACCAUAGGUCUUAUUUGAUGUCUAAUCAUACACACUAGUGCACUCACCAUGGGAACCUUAUUCCCAUGACGAAUGUUAAUCAUCUCUCUAUUUAGGAAGUAAUGCACUACAACCUAAAAUGGAUUGCCUAAGUCUCUUAACCAAUUGUGAACAAAUCAUUUACUUGCAAAGAACCCAUAACUUAGAUCUUUUAUGGAACUCCUAAGGCACCCAAGUUAUGUAUAAUGAAAAGGAUGCUAAGCUAGAAUGCCCAUAUAUAUAUAUAUAUAUAUAUAUAUGCCAAAAUUCAAAACAAAGAAGAGAAAUAAGAAAAUACACAAGAUGUUUAACAUGAAAUUUAAAGAGAAAAAACCACAAACUUUAUUUACAUAAUUUGAAAACCAUCCAUAAUAGGAGGUAUAAUGAAAACAUAAAACAUACUUAUAUAAGGAGAUGAAUAUCUUACAAUGGGAGAAGGGAAGAAAUCUUUGAAGAAAGCUUUUGGCUUGAGAGCUUACAUGAUGAAAGAGAAUGAAGAGAGAAAGGAAAGCAAGAUAUUUAACAAGAAAUUUAAAGAGAAAGAACCACAAACUUUAUUUACAUAAUAGGAGGUAUAAUGAAAACAUAAAACAUACUUAUAUAAGGAGAUGAAUAUUGUCACACCCCUGAUUAUCUCACUUAAUUUUUCACGAGUGUGCGGUGCUAAGGACCCUUCCUUAGCCAACCUUCCCUUCCCAACGUUUAGAAGAAUAGAGUAGAAUGCAGAAAUCACAAAGCAACCGGGACACACGAGGUUACAGGAAAAUCCUUUCCCAACUUGUAUUAAUCACUCUUACAAGACAAAAUUGCUUCUUGAACCAGAGUACAAUGCCCUCACCCAAGGCAUACGAGAAGGAACCCUUUCCCCAACUCUCACCCUCUCUUUCAAGGCUGUAGGAGCCCUAUUUAAAUGACUCAUCUGCAGUUACACAUUUGAAUUCCCUCAAUUCAAAUCUUGGAGCCAACUAGGUGGUCAUGCAACUGGCCAGAACUGCCCUCAACUGCUUGCACAACUACCCACUGUGGAUCCGGGCCCUUGCGACACGUGGCAUCGCACAUUUCACCCGGACGGAAAUUCUCCCUUAUUCCACCCGGAUAUCUCAUAUCAGGAAUUCUGUCCGCCGACGUUCCACCCAGAUAUCUCUCAUCCGGCGCCUGUCCACCGACGUUCCACUCGGAUAUCUCACAUUCGGCACCUGUCCGUUGCCGUUCCACCCGGAUAUCUUACAUCCGGCGCCUGUCCGCUGCCGUUCCACCCGGAUAAAAUCCAUGGAGAUGUUCUCCCAAGGUCUUUCUGGAAUGGGGAGGGGCUGCAGCAACCCUGCAACCUUCUUCCUUUCAGUCUUGUCCAUCUGACAGACUAGGCAUGACUUCACAUAUGCCUGAACAUUCUCACCCAUCUUAGGCUAGUAAUAGGAUCUGGCUAGCAGCGCUAGGGUCCUCUCUUCUCUGGGAUGGCCUGCCAACUUCGAAUCAUGGGUUUCCCACAACAAAUCCUUCCUUAGGCCGCCUGUAGGGACAUACCAUCUUCCUUCUUUUGCCACAAGGAGGUCACCCUCUAGCCAAUACCUUCUGAUCACUCCCUCUUUUACUUGUUGCUUCAGUCUACCAUAUGCAGCAUCCUGCUCCGUAGCUAGCUUUAUCUUCUCAUUGAAGUCAGAGAUGACUUCAGAGAGGACCGCGAUGUAGGCAAUUACCUCCUUCCUACUCAAGGCAUCAGCCACAGUGUUAUGCCUUCCCGGUCGAUGCAGCCACUCGAAUUUGAAAUCGGCUAGGAACUCCUGCCAUCGCGCUUGUCUGGGACUCAGCUUUUUCUAGGUCUUGAAGAAGGUGUUGGCCACAUUAUCAAUAACCAUGGUGAAGAUACUUCCCAGCAAGUAAUGCCUCCACUGCUGCAGGUAAUGCACCACAGCAGUCAUCUCUUUCUCGUGAGUGGAGUACCUCUGCUCUGCAUUAUUCAGCUUCCUGCUUUCAAACGCCAUAGGGUGCCCUUCCUACACCAAGACUCCACCCAAGGCUCUAUCAAAGGCAUCUGUUUGGACUUCAAAGGGUAAGUCCAAAUCUGGCAACCGCAGCACAGGCUCAGUGGAGAUGGCUUUCUUCAGGCUUUCAAAAGCCAUCUGACACUGCAUGCUCCAAUCCCACUGAUUGUCCUUCUUCAAUAGGUCAGUAAGGGGAGACACCACCUUUGAAUACCCCUUAAUGAACCUUUUAUAGUAGUUGGCUAAUUCAAGGAAGGACCGCAGCUCCGUCACUUUGGUAGGGACUGACCACUCCAUAAUAGCCUGCACCUUGCCCUUGUCCAUCCUGAUCAGUUCUGCACUGAUCUUAUGUCCUAGAAAUGUGAUCUUCUCCUGAGCAAACUCACAUUUCUUUGGCUUCACAUAAAUCCUAUUCUCCCUCAAUCUCUGAAACACCAAUCUCAAGUGCUUCUCAUGUUCUGUUAGAGUUUUACUGUAAACUACAAUGUCAUUUAGAUACACAACCACAAAGGCAUCCAAAUAAUCAAACAGAACAUCAUUCAUCAAAUUACAGAAUGUAACAGGAGCAUUUGUCAAGCCAAAGGGCAUUACCAAAAACUCGUAUGAUCCAUACCGAGUUACACAAGUAGUAUUCCCUUCAUCUCCUGCUGCAAUUCGCACUUGCCAAUAACCUGAUCUCAGGUCCAACUUGGUGAAGUAAGAAGCUUUUGACAAUCUGUCAAAUAGCUCAACAGCCAAGGGGAUCAGGUACUUGUUUUUUAUGGUCACCUUGUUGAGUGCUCUGUAGUCCACGCACAUGCGGAGAGAGCCAUCGCACUUCUUUUGGAAGAGCACUGGUGCACCAUAUGGGGCCCUUGAGGGCUGGAUCAGACCUGCAUCUAGCAACUCCUUCAGUUGCUUAUAUAACUCCAGCAACUCUGCAGGAGGCAUCCGGUAAGGGGCUUGAGCCGGGGCCUUUGUUCCAGGUAGCAGCUCAAUUUUGUGGUUAAUGGGUCGCCGAGGUGGCAACUCCUUGGGGAAUUCUGCAGGCAUCACAUCUUUGAACUCUUUAAGGAUCUUGACCACCGAGUCAGGGACUUCCAUAGACUGUCCCUCCUUGAUCUCGAUCAAGGCUGCAACAUAGGUCUUCUGGCUCUUCUUCAAUUCUUUCUUCAAUUGAAUAGCUGACAACAUCUCAGGCUGUCCCUUACUACCAUCUUUUUUCUUCAAAGCUUUCACGAAGCAAGACUGCUUCUCUUCUAACACCACCAAUCCACCAAGAUGUGGAAUCAAGGCCACCUUGGCCCUUAAGAGGAAGUCUACACCAAGGAUCAAAUCAAAAUCAUCUAAAGGUACACAAAGUAAACUACACGUACCCUUCCAAUCACCGAUCUGCAUAGGGACUUUCUUGGCUACCCCUUGGAUCUUUUGGGCUUUGCUGUUGACUACCUUGAUCCGACUGGUGUCCUCCUCCAAUUUAAGUCCCAACCUGGUUGCUUCUCUGGUGGCCACGAAAUUGUGAGUGGCACCAUUGUCCACUAAGGCCUUCACUUGCACACCAUUCACCACUGCAUGGACGUGCAUCAGAGACUUCUGGACUGGGGUCUCACCAUUAAUCACGUUCAGAAGUUGCAGUGGGUUGACUCUUGGAGCGGUUUCCGAGUCAGAGUCUCCCUUGUUGUCUGCAGUCAUAAAGGCUGAGAGUUUCUCUCUUUUGGGGCAGUCUCUGGCUCGAUGAAACAUCCAGCCAUCCGGGUGGUCUGCUGCACGAACUUAGUGGUCUCCUCCACUGGCUUUCCUCCUACAGCAGGCUUCUUGCCUUAUUUCUUCCACCCGGGCUUCUUAGAAGCCUUGCCCUCAGCCUUAGCCUUCUUGCCUCCAUCUGACUUGGGUCUCUACGUGGUGGAGAUGGCACCACCCAUCUUGUAGUCUACCAGGUAGUCUGCUGCAGCCAUGGCAGCAGGGAGAUCACGAACUCCUUGCCUCCGUAGUUCCAUCUGAGCCCAUCCUUGCAAACCCGACAUGAAGUUAAAUAGCUUGUCAUCCUUUGACAUGUUCUUUAUGUCCAACAUCAAGGAACUGAACUCCUUGACGUAUUCCCUCACGGUUUCGGCGUGUCUGAGCCUUUUCAACGCUUCUCGGGCCACCCACGCAAUGUUGGUGAGAAGGAACUGAUCCUUCAAUUCCUUCUUGAGAGUUUCCCAAGUGGUGAUCCGGGGCCUUCCCAACUCUACAUCGUCCUCCAUCCUGGUUCGCCACCACAAUUUGGCAUCACCAGUCAGAUACAUACUGGUGAUGGAAACCUUCUCGCCAUCAGGAACAUGAGCAGCCUUAAAGAACUGCUCGAUGUCGCACAAGAAGUUCUCCAGUUCCUUCGCGUUUCUGUUGCCAUUGAAGCCUUUGGGCUUUGGGACUCGAACUUUGGAAGGGGCUUCAGGAUCUGAGGUAGAUCCCUACAACACCGUCUUCUUAAGGAUGGCGAUGUCCUCUGCAUAGGACUGCAGGGUCUCCUUGAAGUCAUCAAUCCGGGACUGCAUCUCGGUUUUGAACUCAGCCAAUUUCUCCUCAAAGAAAUUGUCAUGGGACUCCAACAUACUCCUCUGAGCUUGGACUUCUUCCCUAGUGUGCUCUGCCCACGAAGCCACUGUGCCAUCCUCACAUGGCCAUUUUCCCAGCGCCUCUUUUAUUUGAGUCAUCCUCUCCCAUAAGGCCUCCAUUGCACUACCACCAGCCAUCUCUAGUGCUUGCUCUGAUACCAACUGUCACACCCCCGAUUAUCUCACUUAAUUUUUCACGAGUGUGUGGUGCUAAGGACCCUUCCUUAGCCAACCUUCCCUUCCCAACGUUUAGAAGAACAAAGUAGAAUACAGAAAUCACAAAGCAACCGGGACACACAAGGUUACAGGAAAAUCCUUUCCCAACUUGUAUUAAUCACUCUUACAAGACAAAAUUGCUUCUUGAACCAGAGUACAAUGCCCUCACCCAAGGCAUACGAGAAGGAACCCUUUCCCCAACUCUCACCCUCUCUUUCAAGGCUGUAGGAGCCCUAUUUAAAUGACUCAUCUGCAGUUACACAUUUGAAUUCCCUCAAUUCAAAUCUUGGAGCCAACUAGGUGGUCAUGCAACUGGCCAGAACUGCCCUCAACUGCUUGCACAACUACCCACUGUGGAUCCGGGCCCUUGCGACACGUGGCAUCGCACAUUUCACCCGGACGGAAAUUCUCCCUUAUUCCACCCGGAUAUCUCAUAUCUGGAAUUCUGUCCGCCGACGUUCCACCCGGAUAUCUCACAUCCGGUGCCUGUCUGCCGCCGUUCCACCCGGAUAUCUUACAUCCGGCGCCUGUCCGCGGCCGUUCCACUCGGAUAUCUCUCAUCCGGCGCCCCCUGUCGCUGGAUGGGAAAGGAGGACGAUUCAACUUCCCCGGGUAGACAUGUCCGGAUCCUUCAGUAACGCUUAUCUGGAGUGCGCACAUGACUUGUUCGUGAUCCCCACGCUUAGCUCCUGGGGUUUGAACCACCAAACCUCCAGGAUUUCCUUGCUUUUCGCCUAGGCUCUCAUGGGUGCAAGGCCUACCCAUGAGGCCUAUUUCUCCGGGUCUAAAUCAAGUGGCUAAAGGGCUGACAAAUAUCUUAUAAUGGGAGAAGGGAGGAAAGCUUUGAAGAAAUCUUUUGGAUUGAGGGCUUACAUGAUGAGAGAGAAUGAAGAGAAAAGGGGGAGCUUAAGUAUGGAAGAAAGGAGGAAAUUUUUUUUCCUGCUUACAACUGAGGAUCAAGCCUCCUUAAAUAGCUGAAGAAGGAAUCUUAAAACAAUAAAAAGUGACAUACAAAGUACUAUUUGCUUUUUGACCAACUAUUGUGAAUAGUUAAUCCGUGCAUGAAUAGUAAAAGUGAACAUUAACAGUUUACUGUAGCACUUUAGACUUUUCAGUAAAGAAUCUUACUUUCGGUAGGAAAUAAUGGCUGGUAGGCCAUUUCUUGAAUUGUGGACACACAUGCUGGAAGACAAAAUUGCUUUCGAUGCUAAAAUGAGCUUAUUGGAGAGAAUAAUCUUGCAAUUGGAAAGUCAUGAAGCUGAUGGUUACUUGGAUUUUCUUAUUGGAGGAAGAAUACCUUCACAGUCAUCGCCAUUAUCGGGAAGGUAGCUUGUUGAAUCAUCAAAUUCUACAUAAGAGUUUUCUUGGGAAAAACUUGAGCUUCCUUCAUCAAGGAUUUUCUAGAAUUCUUGAGGGGUUUUUGCUAUUGCGAGCAUGACUUGGAGCUAUUGUUUCUUGAGAAGAAACUGUGACAUAUCAUCACCAGUUGAAGCUUGUGUGGGAUGUUUGAGGAAAUAUUGCUUAACUGCUUCCAAGGAUGCAUCAUUUUUCAUAGCGUCCCACCAUUUAGUCUUAAAAGUCCUUCCAAUAGUUGGAAAGACUGUUGAUUCAUCUGCAAUGAUAAUGUAGUCCCACUGGACUAUCCAAGCAAGGCCAAAUUUACUGAAAAAGAAUAAUAAAUGGGGAAAAGCUGAAAGUUCUCUAGGGAUAACAAAAGAACGGUUGAAUAGCUCAAAUCCAUCCAAUAUGGGCUUAGAAAGAAUCUUAAUGGAUGGACCAAAAUAAGUCCACCAAUUGUGGAACCAAAAUGGGAAGGAAGAAAGCUGAUGCUUAGAUGGAAAAUAGAACAUCCAUGAAUGAUGGAAGUCCCUAUUUUGGAUUAGAAAAGCAUUGAACCAUGCUCUCUAAUAAUCCCAAUAGUUGAAAAAUCUUGGUUUUGAAGGUUCAGAGAACUCCCUUGAGAAAUUGGGAUUUCCACCCCAUUGUUUAAUAGUAAGAAUCCUACAGAUAUGGCAGGUGGAAAAUGCCAAAUCCAAAUUGUUGUAUUUAUCAGCGUUAUGCUUAAUUUUAACAGAACCAGUUUCUACGAGGACUGCCUCAUAAAAAUCUCUUAUUUUUAAAAGGUCACCAGAGGGAUGAUGAAGCUUUUCAUGAAAUUUUUUUGCUACUAUCUCUUUGGGGUUUUUUCAGAAAAUAAUUCUCUUUCAAUCACCAAAAUUGGUUGAUUGAUAUCUUUUUAUCAAUAUCUUGAUUUUGCAGAAAGAAGUGUAGGGUUGGCAGCCACCACAAUUUGCUUAUUUGAAAAAGAUGAGCUUGAUGCUAAUUCUUGAUGAGAGGGAUUAGCCUGAGUCACCUGCUUAAAGGUGUGAGACCCUGAAAUAGUUGGGUAUUGGGUAGCCUUGACCAGUUUAGAUGGAUCUGUAAGAUCAUAGUACAAGGUCAUCAUCUUGUUGGGCAUAAGGUUAGAAGAAUGAAGCCUUGCUUCUUCUUCAAGUUCAACUUGUUGACUCCAAAGUAUUUUAUGGGGAGAAGAAGCUUGACUGGAUUGGGAUUUUUGUGGGUUAGGAGCUAAGGUAUUCUUUUUAGGGGCCAUGGUCUUGUGAACCCUGCAAAUUUCACGAGUUAAGUAAUCAGGAAUGGAAUUUUCUCAUUUAAUAAACUUAAUUUGAAAAUUAGGGUUUAAAAUAAUUUGCCAAUCAGUUAAAUCAUGCUUAAAAGCUAUUUACUUAAUUGUUUUCGUAGAUGUGAAAAUGACUCUUAAUAAAAAUCCUUGGUUCAAAAUAUCAAUUUGAAAUUUUGGAAUGCAUAAAGAAAUGCUUAAAAUAUCAUUUUUAAUGAGAUUAUGAAUGAGUUGGGUACCUAUUAUCUUAGGUGGAACAUUUAUUCCAACAAGAUUAAUUUCCUAAUCACAAGGAGUGCUAUAACAAGUGGAUUGGUAAAUUCAAAAAGAAUUUCCUUAUCAAAGAACUUUGUUCUUAUUCCUUGGUUAUUUACCCACAUGGGAUAAAUAGAGCUUAAGAAGGGGAUCCCUAGGAGGGCUUUCUCCUUAAGGUCCUUAACAAGAAUGAAGGUUUGCUUAAUAUAGAUGUCAUGGUUACGGAUAUGAACAUUUGUUAAUUUAUACUUAAUGGCAAGCCUUUUGCCAUUGGCUCCAAAGAGAGACUGACUAGUCUCUUCACAUAAUGGAAUAGGUACAAGACCUUCUUGAAGGCAAUUUUCGGCUGCUCCUAAAUCAAUCAAAGUAACAAUGUCAAAGGCAAAAUUAUCUUUGAUUACUAUAGUAAGGGAGACUUCCCAUCUUUAAAAGAUAACCCUAUUAACAGUAUUCAAAAAAGCAUCUGUCUCUUCAUUAUUAACAUGUGAAGAUUCUAGAACAUCCACAAGAUUUCCCUGGUUAUUAACAAUCCUAUUGAUUUGUCCUUAGAGGUUUGACAAACCUAAACUUGUGAAUUGUCUUAAGUCCUUAAUUUCCUUCCUUAAUUUCCUUCCCUUUCAUUCGGUUGAGAUGAGCCCCUAGUGGAGCACUUUCUUUAAGCUUGGGCAUUUUCAUCGAUCAGAGGCCCCCAGUGGAGUCGCCAAUUUGUGGACCUGCAAAUUUCACGUGUGUCCCCACUUGAUCGGCGAGACUCGCUCUUUAUUUGUGAAAAAUUAAUUUUAGAAAAGUUGGAGUCGCCACCUAUUUUAUUUUUAUUUUAAAGGGAAAAUAAAACAAAAAAGAAAAACCCUAAAAAAAAUGACUCCAUAAUUUUUGGAAAAAGCGUGUCUUUGAAAAACCUGAGUCUAGGUCCGGGGAUCAGGUUACUUAUUGGGAAGGUACCUCUAGGAGGUAGCACCCCUCUAAGCCCUAAAGAGGUCUCUACUGACUAAGUUGAGGGAAAUAUAACAAUUAACCGAUUAAUCAUGGAUACCUAAGUAGGCUAGGUGACUUCGAAAAUAGCAUGCUUAGCAGGAAAACCAAUCACAAUCAUGAAGAAUAUUUAGGGUACGUACCUGGACUGCUUCUUAAGCGCUAUCACAAGACAUUGAAAAUAUGAUAUAACAUUUGUUUCAAUCAAGCAUGUAUCUAAACACCCAAGAAUCACAUCAUGUAUGGAUAUAAUCGCCAAUAGCAUAUGUGCCCAUAUAAUUCUCGAAAAAUAGGUGUGGAGGAGCGUACCUGGAUAGCAAGCUAGUACUCCUUUAUGGGAAGCAAAAUUAGCCAAAUAACAUAUCCAAAAUAAUCUCAUAUAUACCACAAAAUGAGGCACAAUCAAUUGAAUAUCAAACAAGAAAUAUUUGAGGAAAUAUAGUGAAUGUCGAGCCCCUCUCCAAAGCCCUAAUCAAUUUCGCAUGAGUUGAUUCUAUGAAUUCCAUUGUUUGGAAUCACGAAAGUUAUUCGUGCUUGUGAAAAAUCAAGAAGAUUAAGAAAAUGGUUGAAAGUCAAAGAAAAUAGUGAAAGUGCAUGCCGAGAGGAAAAAUGGCAGCAAGCGAUUACUAAAGAUGGAUUUUUUAAUGCUGAGAAUAUUUAGUGGAAAAAUGAUUCAAAAUUCAAUUUAAAAACAAUAAAUUCCCAAUCAAAGAGGUAAAUAGAGGAGGAGGUGGAACGUUGGCCGGACAGAAUUCCGGAUGUGAGACAUCCGGAGGAGAUGGAAUGUUUGGCCAGACAGAAUUUCAGAUGUGAGAUAUCCGGAUGAGGUGGAAUGGCGGCGGGACAGAAUUCCGGAUGUGAGACAUCCGGAUGAGGUGGAAUGGCGGCGGGGCGGGAUUUCGGAUGUGAGACAUCUGGAUGAGAUGGAAUGGCGGCGGGACAGAAUUCCGGAUGUGAGGCAUCCGGAGAAGGGGGACUGUUGGCGGGACAGAAUUCCGGAUGUGAGACAUCCGGAUGAGGUGGAAUAGCGAUGGGACAGAAUUUUGGAUGUGAGACAUCCGGAUGAGGUGGAAUGGCGGCUGGACAGAAUUUCGGAUGUGAGACAUCCGAAUGAGAUGGAAUGGCAACAUGACAGAAUUCCGGAUAUGAGACAUCCGAAUGAGGUGGAAUGGCGACGGGACAGAAUUCUGGAUGUGAGACAUCUGGAUGAGAUGGAAUGGCUGCGAGAUAGAAUUCCGGAUGUGAGACAUCCGGAUGAGGUGGAAUGGCGGCGGGACAGAAUUCCGGAUGUGAAACAUCCGGAUGAGAUGGAAUGGCGACGGGACAGAAUUUCGGAUGUGAGACAUCCGGAGAAGGGGGACCGUUGGCCGGGCAGAAUUCUUCCCAUUCUAAGAGUUCCAGAAAUUGCUGCCUAACGGAGACAGGGUACCCCAAAAAAGAAACUAGAAAAAUAGAAGAAAAGAAGAAACGAACGUAAAGAGAAAGAGCUCCAGAAAACAAAGUAGAGAUAAGAAAAAAUAAAAAUAAAUAAGAAAAGAAUAAUAAAGCCAAGCCACAUUCCAUUGCUUUGUCAACGGGCUUGGAAUGGUGAGAGAGGUACGAGCAGAUUCCAGCAAACAAAUAUAGCCAUAAUUCUUAUGUAAUGCACAGGAAAUUAAAAAAAAUAGAACAUUUCACCCCUAAAUCAAAAUUAGAGAACUCCAAAGAGACAAAUCAACAACAUCUAUAGAAGCAAUCAAGUACCAAUGUAGACAAACAUAUGACCUCCGUCAUUCUAUCCCCUAGCAUCCAAACGAGACUCAAAACCCAACGAAGAUUCAUACAUCAAAAGGAUAAUCGGAAUCAAGAAGGGGUCUACAGUAAACAUACUUGGAAACACUUCCUUUCGGUAAGAAAAUCUCCACUGGUUUUUGUAUUCUCAGACUUUCCCACUCGUCUUUUUCGUGCUUCCUUCCUCUUCCCUUGACAACCUCUCUCCCUGCCCUCACAAUCCCAAAGAAUCCUCAUUUUUCUUCCUCUCUCACGUAUAUAUACCAGCCUUUCCAAAAGAGACCCUCCAAAUCUGCUGGAGAAAAAUCCCCUCCUUUCUUCCUUUUUUAAAUCUAAUUUCCUUUCUUAUUUUCUUCCCUUUUUAUAACCGAUUCUCCCAUAGAAAUAAUAUAUGUGCUAUCCUUCUAAAAAACAAAAUCUCUUUUUUUUCAAAAUUUUGUUGAUUCUCCUUCCAAAUAGAUGGCGGCCCAUUUCCUCAUACCCAAAAGCCAAGAAAUAUGAUUUAAAAAGCUUGUAAUAAGAUGAAAUAAAAUAAAAUAAAAAAUGAUAAAGAAAUCCGUAUAAGUCACACAAGUCAUGUAGGCCAUGCAAUCACGCAACCAUCUAAGAAAGUGAGUCAAUGAAUGAACUAAAUGGGUUGGGGCCUAGUGGUGCCUAACGAACUAAGUGUCUUAAAGUGAUUGGGAUAUUGUCUAAGUGACCUAAACAUGCUUAAGAACUAUCCUAAAAAGGAAUGGAAAGCUUAAGUCUAAAUCAAAACUAAGGGUCACAAUAAGGGGCUAGGCAAUCCCUCAACCAGAGUCUCCGAGGUGGCUCAAGAAAGGUAAGUAACGUGAGUAGCUAUGGGCCACCAAGGAACUACUGUAAAGUAUCGAACAAGUAUCUAAUAGGACAUGUGCUAGGAUGACAAAAUUGAGGGUCUACAGGUCUUUGGACAGCAAUUACAAUUACCCUUAAUAUAAUCUUCUUGGUCACUAGAAGUUUGGCUAGAAACAUCACCACUACUGUCUAGUUGAUUAAUAUCAUCUUCAUUAUCUGAAUCAGUCCUUGAUUCAGAUUCUGAGGUUUUUAACAAAACUUCGUAGAGCAUAUUUUUUAAAUCUUCUGGGACAUUAAGAUUAUUAAUCUUUUGUCUAACCUUACAAUCUUUCUUAUAGUGACAAACCUUGCCACACUUAAAACAAAUAAUUGGCUUGGAAUCUAAAGGGGCUUCUACCUUCUGGGAUUCUUUGUUUAUUCUUCUUUGGACGUAUAUUGAAUGCUUAGUUUCAUUCAUCUUAUGGUUUCCAUAGGUUCCUCUAUUGCUAUGGUAAAAAUUAUCUUUGCUAGGCUUCCUGUUUGUUUGUUGCUUAUAAGGGGGCUUAGUUUUUUUUUUGGUUCAAACCAAAUUGGCUACAGAAUGACCCAAAUUCAUUCUUGUAGAUCCUUUGUUCAUUCUUCAUUUGUUGCUUAAGCUUAAAGUCAUUACACAACUUAAUCCCUUCGGUUGUGACAAUGCUUAGAAUCUCACCAUAAGUUAGCUUAUCAUAAGGGAUUUGACCAUUAUAUUGUUCCCUUAUCUUAAUCCUAAUUCUCUCAGAGAAAAGUCUAGGUAAACCUGAGAUGAAUUUUUCUUUCCAAAAAGACUAGUUGCAAUUCGGAUCUUAGCAUAACUUUGGUUAGGAAAACUUCCUUAUACCAUCUAAAGUCAUGAAGCUUGGGACACUUAAGGUUGGUUAAGAGAUAUGCAGUCUUAUCCUUAAUUUUUGCAGGAUCUCCAAUGAAGUGCUUGGAUAUUGAAUAGAUUAGAGUAGCCACUGUAUCUUCUAUAUCUUGUCCAUCUUUAUCCUUAACAACUUCAUUAUUCUCAUUAAUCUUGUAGGCUUUUAGGAUGCCAUUUCUGUCAUCAAAAGUGAGAUAGUUAUCCCACCAUCCCUUAAGUUGUCCUGUAAACCUGGCCACAAUUGUCUGAGCUAUAGCAUGGUCGGGCAGUCUAUUGUUUAACUUAUAGGUUGUACUAACCAUGGUCAUUUCUUGAAGCUUAGUGAGUAUGUUAUAUUCGGUCAUACCAUCUAUGUUCCAUUCAUAGAUAGUACCAUUAGUGUAUGAAGUUUGAGUAUACUGGUUUCUUUCCUCAAAUUGCAUAUCAAGAAAGGUAGGUCUAAGGUAGUAAUUCCUAGUCUUAGGGGCUUCCAAGUUGUUGAUACUAUUUAAAACAAUUUGAUUAUGGGGUUCCUCAAACAUUUUGAUUAGUUCAUCAACCUCUUCUUUUGAACUAAUGUCACCCUUAACCAUAUUGAUUCUCAUAUGAGAAGGUUGAGUUGUCAAAGGGACAACAAGGUUAUCCUUGAUCUUUUGGUUAAUCCUAUUCACAAAAGCUUGGUUAAUUUGGGGAUUUUCCUGGAAUUCUUUAGAGAAUUCAUACGGCUUAAUAGUUUUCUUAUCAGUGCUAUCACUGGUAACCCAUUGUGGACCCGCAUUUUUCACGUGCGUCCCCACUCGAUCGGCGAGACUCGCUUUUUAUUCAUGAAAAAUUAAUUUUUAAAAAAAAGUUGGAGUCGCCACCUAUUUUAUUUUUAUUUUAAAGGGAAAAUAAAACAAGAAAGAAAAACCCUAAAAAAUGACUCCAUAGUUUUGGAAAAAGCAUGUCUUUGGGAAACCCGAGUCUUGGUCCGGGGAUCAGGUUACUUAUUGGGAAGGUACCUCUAGGAGAUAGCACCCCUCUAAGCCCUAAACAGGUCUCUACUAAUUAAGUUAAGGGGAAUAUGGCAAUUAAUCGGUUAAUUAUGGAUACCUAAGUAGGCUAGGUGGUUUCGGAAUAUUUGCAUGCUAAACAAGAUCAAAUCACAAAAAAGAGAGUUAGGGUGCGUACCUGAACCGCUCUUCAAGCGCUAUCAUAAAACAUCAGGGUUAGUAUAGAAGUAUAACACACAACAUGUAUUCAUUCAUAGUGAACCAAACAUACAUCCAAACACCUAAGGAUUAUCAAACAUAUGCAUACUUCACAGUGACAUGAUUGUUUACAAAAUUUAGAAAGUAGGCGAUAGGGGGGGCGUACCUGGAUAGCAUAAAUAACUUACAAUGCGCUCCCAUAAGACAUGAGGGAUUAGAUAAUAAUAAAAUAAAGAAACCCUAGCAUGCUUGUUAUCUAAUUAGCAUAACAAAAAUUAUCAAAGUAUAUGAAAACAUUAAUUAUCACACUCAUCAUGUAUACAAUUCCUAAAAAAUAGACAUAAUUUCAACAAGUGACAAAGGUGGCAACAAAAAUAAUUUUUGAAAAGAUUUUCUUAUGUAGGGGUUUCACCAAUUCCCCAAAUUAAUAUACACAAAUUUAGCCCAGAAUCAUCCCAUUAUUUGGGACCACAAGCUUUGAUUCGUGUUUUUGUUCAAAACCAAAAUUUUUGUUGAAAACCGAGAAGGAUGCAAACCGAACAAGAUAUGGUUGCAUAUUAUUUUUAAAUAAUAAAAAAAAAAAAAAGAAGAGAUUUUGAUCCUGAGGACUCUAAAUGAGUUUUUGAAAUAGAUUUUUAAAAUGAUUUUUUUGAGAAAAGUAUUUUUAUUUUAAAAUAAAAGGAAUUAAUUUGGAAAAAAUAAAAUAUAAGAAAUAAAAUACCCAACAAAACAAAAAUGAAACCUCAAAGUAAAAUUUUUUUAGUAAUUAACAAAAAUGAUAAUGGUGAUGGUAGAGGCCAAUCUUCAUGAUUUUCCAAUGGCCUUUGAACAAAAAGGAAACUAUCAAAGCAAUAAAUUAUUAAUAUUUAGAUCAAAUAAGCUAAUGAAAUAUCCAUCAAGAAUUAGCAACAAGGAUUCAAGAAGCGCAUAAAUUGAGAAUAACAAUCCAUAAUUAACAUAAGAUUAACUAAACACAUAAAUGCCUCUAGACUAAAAAAAUAAAUUAAAUCAAGAUUAAACUUUAUCUAACGGGAUUAAUUAAACUAAUGUAUUCAAAUCACAAACACAUACAAGUGAAGAACAAAUUAAAACUAAAUUAAAUUGUAAUUAAAAACAUGAACUUUAUUUAAUAAGAUUAAUUAAACUACUAAAUUACAAUUACAAACACAUCCAAAUUAAAAAUAAAUAAAAGCUAAACUAAAUCGGAAUUUCAAAUAUGAACUUUAUCUAACAAGAUUAUUUAAACUAAUGAAUUAAAAUCACAAAUAUACUUAAACUAAAAGAUAGGUUAAAACUGAACUAAUUUAGAAUUAAAAAAAUAUAAACUUUAUCUAACAUAAUUAUUUAAACUAAUAAAUUAAAAUCACAUACAUAUUUAAACUAACAAAUAAAUUAAAAAUAAACUAUUUUGGGAUUAAAAACAUGAACUUUAUCUAACAUAAUUAUUUAAACUUAAGAAUUAAGAUCAACUAAUGCAUUUAAACUAAAAACGAAUUGAAAUCAAAUUAAUUGAGAUUAAAAACACAAACUUUAUUUAACGUGAUUAUUUAAAGUAAAGAAUUAAAAUCAACAAAAUACAUUUAAACUAAAAACAAAUUAAAAUUAAAUUAAUUGGGAUUAAAAAUACAAAAUUUAUUCGAUAUGAUUAUUUAAACUUAAGAAUUAAGAUCAACAAAAUGUAUUUAAACUAAAAACGAAUUGAAAUCAAACUAAUUGAGAUUAAAAACACAAACUUUAUUUAACGUGAUUAUUAAAAGUCAAGAAUUAAGAUCAACAAAAUAUAUUUAAACUAAAAAACGAAUUGAAAUCAAAUUAAUUGGGAUUAAAAAUACAAGCUUUAUUUAACGUGAUUAUUUAAACUAAAGAAUUAAGAUCAACAAAAUACAUUUAAACUAAAAAACGAAUUGAAAUCAAAUUAAUUGGGAUUAAAAAUACAAACUUUAUUUAACGUGAUUAUUUAAAACAAAGAAUUAAGAUCAACUAAUGCAUUUAAAUUAAAAAUGAAUUGAAAUCAAACUAAUUGGGAUUAAAAAUACAAACUUUAUUCAAUACAAUUAUUUAAACUUAAGAAUUAAAAUCAACUAAUGCAUUUAGAUUAAAAAUGAAUUGAAAUCAAACUAAUUGGGAUUAAAAAUACAAACUUUAUUCAAUACAAUUAUUUAAACUUAAGAAUUAAAAUCAACAAAAUACAUUUAAACUAAAAAACAAGUUAAAAUCAAACUAAUUGGGAUUAAAAAUACAAACUUUAUUCGAUAUGAUUAUUUAAACUUAAGAAUUAAGAUCAAUAAAAUGUAUUUAAACUAAAAACGAAUUGGAAUCAAACUAAUUGAGAUUAAAAACAUAAACUUUAUUUAACGUGAUUAUUUAAAGUCAAGAAUUAAGAUCAACAAAAUACAUUUAAACUAAAAAACAAAUUAAAAUCAAACUAAUUGGGAUUAAAAAUACAAACUUUAUUCGAUAUGAUUAUUUAAACUAAAGAGUUAAGAUCAACAAAAUACAUUUAAACUAAAAAAACAAAUUAAAAUCAAACUAAUUGGGAUUAAAAAUACAAACUUUAUUCGAUAUGAUUAUUUAAACUAAAGAAUUAAGAUCAACAAAAUACAUUUAAACUAAAAAACGAAUUGAAAUCAAAUUAAUUGGGAUUAAAAAUACAAACUUUAUUUAACGUGAUUAUUUAAAACAAAGAAUUAAGAUCAACUAAUGCAUUUAAAUUAAAAACGAAUUGAAAUCAGACUAAUUGGGAUUAAAAAUACAAACUUUAUUCAAUAUGAUUAUUUAAACUUAAGAAUUAAAAUCAUUAACAAACUUAAACUAAAAGAUAGAUUAGAAUUAAACUAAUUGGGGAUUUAAAAAGAAAAUAAUAUAAACUUUAACACAAAGAAUUAAUCAAAAACUAAAAUUUCCAAAAAAAAAAUCUAGGCUAAAUAAAAGUACUAUAUAGAAAACUAACCUUUGAAGUGAAAGAGAAAAUCCUCUCUUGAUGAUUAAAUGAUAGCCCGAUCUCCGUUCGAAGUCCCUUGUUUUUUUUCCAAAAUUCCGUGUGCUCUCCCCCCAAAAAAAAAAUCCUCCUUAUUUUCCUUUUCUCACCUAUAUAUAUCACCCCUCAAGACCUAAAUUUGUUUCCAAAAAGGAAAAUUCUCCUCCUUCCUUUCUUCUUCUCUUCUUUUUUUAAAUCCUCCAAUCAAAAGCAAUCUUCCCAAUUUCAAAUUCCCCUCCAAAACCUUCCAAGGAGAGUCCCAUCUUCCUUAAACUCCAAUGGUAAGUUUCCUUGCAAAAACAUGAAAUUUUUGAAGUUAAAUAAUUGCAUGUAUAGAUAAAUAAGUAAAUAAAUUAAAAAAAUGGUAAAAAUAAUAAAUAAAUAAAUAAGUUAAGGAAAAUAAUAUAAAGAGGAAGAUAACCAAUAAAAAGUGAAUGAUAAUCAUAAAAUUAAAAUUAAAAACAAAAUAAAUAAAUAAAUAAAUAAAAUAAAAUAAAAUAAAAGUCUUCGUAGGCCUAGUGUGCCUAAACGGGCCUAAGGUGAGACUAAGUAGGCCUAGGGUGGUGCCUAAUGGGCCAAGUGUAUCUAAAAGCUAUCCUAAAAAAAACAAGAAAAGCCUAAGUCUAAGUUAGGGCUGCCAAGGGUCACAAUAAGGGAUCAAAUAAUCCCUCAACCAAAGUCUCCAAGGUGACUCAGAAAAAGGUAAGUGGUGAGUAGUACUGGCCCACCAAGGAACUAUUUUGAAGCACUGAAAACGAACUUAAAGACAUGUGCUAAAGGGACAAAAUUGAGGGUCUACACCCAUAUCUUAGUGUUAUUAAUACGCUUAUAGGGAUAGUCUGGAUAUUCUUCUUGUUUGAAGAGUUCAAACCAGAUCCAGAACUUAAUGUUUUUCUUUUCCCGUCUUAAGUACGCAUAAAAUUCUUCUUGGUAGAGGUUUCUAAUGUCUUUAGGGACAGUGCUAAAGAACCAAUAUUUUCUUUCCUUAUUGGCUUCAGAAUAGAAGUCCUUUCUUAAAAGAUCCUUGUUGAUCUCAAAGUCCUCAUCGUCAAAGCUUAUUGUGUUAAUCAUCUGGGAAUACGUAGGAGACAUAUCAGGGGACUCAUCCUGAUUUGAUUCAUGUGUAGACUCCUUUUCUUCAGUGUAAAAAGGUUUGGCCAAGUUGGUGUGAUUUCUAACACCUAUUAGGUUAAUAUUCUUAGGAUUUGCUGAAUUGGAACCUUCAUCUACCCUAGUGAUCCUUACUGGGAUAGAUGAGUUUGAAGCUCUAGAGGGCUCAUAAUCUAAAAUUCUAGGGCUGCUAGAAUGACGAAAAGAGUUGGAGAAAAUCAGAUCUCCUCCUUCAUCAGGAUAUUGAACAAUUUGUUCAAUCCUUUCAGAUCUCUGCUUUAUGGCUGGAACAACAUUAACAAAAUGCCAAUUUUUAAGAAACUCAACCUCACUCCACUUAAUCUUUUUGGGGAUUAUGAAGUUUGACUUGUCUAGCAUAUCAGAGUGGAACAGAGUAGUCUCACCCUUAGGACUGGUGCAUAGAGAUCCAGAUCCAACACUUUUGGUCAUGCUCUUAUAGGCAAAUCUGGUGAUGAUGGAAACAGGAUUGUUUCCUUCCUUGAACUUAAAGCCAUGGGUCUUAACAUGAAGGACAACCGAAUCUAAGAUGUCAGCAUCUCUUAGUUUAAUUGUGAAGUUAGGGAAACACUGAAAGUAAACAGGGCCAUCAUUUAGUCCAGCUUGGACUGCACCUAUAAUAGAAUCUCGAUAUUUGAGAUGUCUAUUAUCUUUUAGACACAUGACAAUAGAGGUGUUUAAACCUAAUCUUGUCAAAGGCUUAGCUGCAACUUGAAUCAUGCCAAAGUGUAUGAAGUUGUAGUGGUCUUUCUAAUGUUUCUCUACAGACUUGCUAUCCAAGAGUCUUAUGACUUGAUCAUCUUGUUCUAAACUUACUGACAUUUCAGAGGUUCUAAUGGUGUAGUCUAUAAAGAACUUAAAGGUUCAUUUCUUAUAAAUUUCUUGAUUGGAUACCUUGGGUAACUUCUAAUCAUCUAAAUCAUUUUGGAUCUUAGGAUAAUUGAUCUCUUCACUGUUUACAAUAGUAUCUUGAGAAUCAGUGGAUUUCCUAGACAUGGUUCUGAAAAUCGAACUCAUUUUAGAGUUUUAAUCUAGAGCCUAAUAGCAGAUUGACAGACUUAAUGAGACGUCUCCCCAGCCCCUUACAGCACUAACAAACGCCUAUCCACGACUAACAACGGGCUCAACUUAGCAGGGAUCGCACUCCUUGGCACACUACUACUUAUCCUAGGAUAGCUUAAAACACCCAAAACAAACCCGACUUCCCUUCUCGUGGCUCUGAUACCAUAGACACACAAAACAAGGUUAUAUGCAAUGAAAACAUAAAUUAUGCCAAAAUUCAAAACAAAGAAGACAAAUUAGAAAAUACACAAGAUAUUUAACAAGAAAUUUAAAGAGAAGGAACCACAAACUUUAUUUACAUAAUUUGAAAACCAUCCAUAAUAGGAGGUAUAAUGAAAACAUAAAACAUACUUAUAUAAGGAGAUGAAUAUCUUACAAUGGGAGAAGGGAGGAAAGCUUUGAAGAAAGCUUUUGGCUUGAGGGCUUACAUGAUGAGAGAGAACGAAGAGAGAAGGGGGAGCUUAAGUGUGGAAGAAAGGGGAAUUUUUUUUUUUUUUGAUACUUACAACUGAGGAUCAAGCCUCCUUAAAUAGCUGAAGAAGGAAUCUUAAAAUAGUACAAAGUGGCAGACAAAGUACUAUUUUCUUUUUGACCAACUGCUAUGAAUAGUUCAUCCGUGUAUGAAUAGUAAAAGUGAAUAGUAACCGUUUACUCUAGCACUUUAGACUUUUCAGCAAAGAAUCUUUCUUUCGGCAGGAAAUAAUGGUUGGCAGACCAUUUCUUGAACUGUGGACGCACGUGGUGGAAGACAAAACUGCUUUCAGUGUUGAAAUGAGCUUGCUGGAGAGAAUAAUCUUGCAGGUGGAAAGUCAUGAAGCUGAUGAUUACUUGGAUUUUCUUAUUGGAGGAAGAAUACCUUCACAGUCAUCACCAUUAUUGGGAAGAUAGCUUGUUGAAUCAUCAGAUUCUACAUAAGAGUUUUCUUGGGAAAAACUUGAGCUUCCUUCAUCAAGGAUUUUCUGGAAUUCUUCAGGGGUUUUUGCUGUUGCGAGCAUGGCUUGGAGCUGUUGUUUCUUGAGAAGAAACUGUAACCUAUCAUCACUAGUUGAAGCUUGUGUGGGAUGCUUGAGGAAAUAUUGCUUAGUUGCUUCCAAGGAUGCAUCAUUUUUCAAAGCGUCCCACCAUUUAGUCUUAAAAGUCUUUCCAAGAGUUAGAAAGGCUGCUAAUUCAUUUGCAAUGAUAAUGUAGUCCCAUUGGACUAUCCAAGCAAGGCCAAAUUUACUGAACUAAAUCUUAUAUGUGACUUCCCCUAUUGCAUUGCUAGGAAUUUUAGAUCGGGAAAUAAAAAAAAAACAUGAGAUUAAUGUGCAGGCAAUUGCAGUUUUUAUAGUGCACAACACUAUAAUCUUACAAAAUUUUCCUUAGGAAUCAGCUUAUUGAAUUCCUAAUCCAUCUCAAAAAGUUCCUUGGUUGAAACCAAGGUUGAUGAACUAAAUAUCCCUAAAGAUGAGUGGAUUUGAUUGAGUUAUUGACAUUCAGUGAUAUAUAUGUUCUCCAAACUGUCCCUUUGUGACUGAUCAACUUUUUCAUAGCCCCACCUUCUUUAACAAAGAGAUUCCCUUGCUAGUUGGAUCCAACUCCCUUUUUUGACACAUACCAGAGACUCCUUUUUAAGAGCACUCUGCAGCUCAGAAGAUCAAUUUACAAAAUAACAGACAUGAGGAUGCUUCUGCAAUUGCUAGUAUCAGUUCAUCUUAUCACAAUCAUCAUCUUCUUUGUAUUUAUACCACAAGAAGCAGGGGCAUCUUUGACCAAGCCUGGCUGCCCAGAGAAAUGCGGGAACAUUACCAUUCCAUAUCCAUUUGGCAUGGGAAAAGGCUGUUACCUUCAUAGAGAUUUUAAGAUUACAUGCAACAUGUCCUCCGAUCCGCCUCUUCCACUUCUUCCCCAAGAAGUUCAACUUUUGCAGAUAUCAGGAGACAAACUGCGCAUCAAUGAUAUUGCUUAUCGUAGCUGUUUUAACAACCAAUCAGGGAAGACUGAUUCAUCAUAUGUAUCAUAUAAUAGAACUCAUCAUUUCAGUUACUCCUUCACUCACAAUAAGUUCAUAGCCAUUGGGUGUGACAUAUUUGCUUAUAUCACUGGGCACAACAGUACAGCAUAUGCAACCGGGUGUGCUUCGCUUUGUAAUACUGGUAAUGACAUCACUGCUGGUUUUUCCUCUUCUGCUUGCUCAGGCAUUGGUUGCUGCAGGACUUAUCUCCAAACAGAUAUUGCAUCUUUUUAUCUCCGGAUUCGCAGCAUCAACAUGAUCACACCAACCUGGUCUUCUGAGCCAUGUGGCCUUGCUUUCAUAGCAGAGAGGAACUUCUCUAUACGUGAACAUUUUAACCUCUCUAGUAAAUUUGACAAGAAUUUGUAUUUUGUCCCAGCAGUACUUGACUGGUCAGUUGGGGAAGUCUCUUGCCAUGAAGCUAUCAGAAGAAAAAACUAUGCAUGCGGCCAGAACACUUAUUGCAACAACUCCAUCCAGGGUCGGGGGUAUAAUUGUCACUGCCUUAACGGUUACCAAGGGAACCCCUACCUUGCAAAUGGCUGCCAAGGUACAGUUUCUUCUCCUUCUCAACAGUUUAUAUUUAUUUUUUUGCCAGUCCCACAUGAUCUUUCUUUUCUUUUCUUCUGACUCUUUGCUCCUGCAAUAUAUAUCAGCUUCACGAAAAUCAAUUGAUAAUUUUUGCUUCAUGAAAAUACUCCUAAAUAUCAGCUUGUGUGUGAAGAAGGAAUUAUGGAAUUAUGUAUGGCUAUGAAUCCUCUUAUCAGUUUUCUACAUAUCAGACUUCAUAGUCAGAAGGCCAUGGCAACUAUAAUUUAUGAAUGAUAUGUCUCCUAAUGAAUUUAAGGACUAAGCAACCCCUCAGCAUAACCGAAGAGAUAAAAUUUUAGCUUAUGAAUUUUUUAGUAAUUUUUUUUUUCUUUUGUGCUCUGAAAAGAUAUUAACGAAUGCAACGACCCAAAACAAAAUGCUUGCCACAAGAUAGCUAUUUGCAGUAACAUCCCUGGCAGUUACUCAUGCACUUGCCCAGCUGGUUACCAUGGAGAUGGCAAGACAAAUGGAACUGGGUGCAUACCUGGCAAGCGUAAACAUUUGCUAGCACUGGUAUUUUCUUUAGGUAUGGAACUUUACCAUUCUUCAAACAUCUAGCACUCUAAUCCCCUUCUCUGCACUACUUACUUUUGUGUCUGAUGCAGGUGUGGGGAUUACUGUUGUUCCCUUGAUCCUAAUUGCUACGGGCCUAUGGUUAUACCGAAGACUUAAGGAAAGAGAGAAAAAGAAAAUAAAACAGGAGUUCUUCAAGAAGAAUGGUGGUCUGCUAUUGCAACAGCAAAUUUCUUCAAGCAAAGAAAGCGUAGAAAAAACAAAACUGUAUUCGGUAGAAGAGUUGGAGAGAGCAACAGAUGGCUUCAAUUCAAGUCGAGUCAUUGGUAAGGGAGGCCUUGGCACAGUAUACAAAGGGAUGUUAUCAGAUGGAAGCAUUGUAGCCAUUAAGAAAUCCAAUACUGUUGAUGAAAAGCAGUUGGACCAGUUCGUCAAUGAAGUUUUCAUUCUUUCACAGAUCAACCAUAGACACAUAGUAAGAUUGUUAGGUUGUUGUCUGGAGACUGAAGUACCUUUGCUGGUUUAUGAAUAUGUCUCCAAUGGCACCCUCUUCCACCAUCUUCAUGAAGAGGGCCAUGCAUCUACAUUAUCUUGGAAAAACCGGCUGCGAAUUGGGAGUGAAAUUGCCGGAGCCCUGGCAUAUUUGCACUCAUAUGCUUCUAUAGCCAUCUGUCACAGGGAUAUCAAGUCCAGGAACAUAUUGUUGGAUGAAAACCUCCGGGCAGUAGUUUCUGACUUCGGACUUUCAAGGUCAAUACCCCUUGACAAAACUCACUUAACUGCAUUGGUACAAGGGACAUUUGGUUACUUGGAUCCUGAUUAUUUUCAUUCAGGUCAAUUUACAGAUAAAAGUGAUGUGUAUG
rnacentral:lncRNA from 1 species